AAUUUUAAGGUAUGAGUUAUUCCCAUUUGUAUUGAACUUAGGUUUGAAGCGUGUAGUGGAAAUAAAAAUCCGUUUCGUGUUCAUUUAAGGGACAGAGUUUUGUUGUUAACCAUUUGUAGAUAAUUUAUGUGGUUGCAAACUCCGAUCUAUCACCCACUUGAUAGAUUUGGUGUGUUUGGGUGAAAAACAUAAUUAUGACCUAUGUUUCCAAUUGGGGGGUUACGUGUGUUGGAUUGCCACCCCAGAUGGCGAGAGCAAGCGAAGGAUUUAGAUGCUCAAAGAUACGCUUCCGACUUAUGUAUUAGAUUUUGGAGGGAGUUGGAAUACUUACCUUCCACUGGCUGAGUUCUCCUACAAAAGCAGUUAUCAUGUCGGUACUCAAGUACCGGCCAUCGUUUAAGAUGUUAUAUGGAAGGAGGUGCAAUACCCGGUUUGCACGGGGGAGGUCGGGCAUCGGGUCAUGGGUGUACUGAGGUGGUACUCAAGACCAUUGAAUGGAUUCAGUAGGUGCAUGACAUGUUGCGAGUCCCCUAAAGCCGAUAGGAGAGUUACGCAGUUCAGGGACGUUCGGACCUUGUGUUUCAGGAGGGGGAUUUGGUGCUUUUAAAGAUGUCACAUUGGAAAGGUGUCAUCCGAUUUCAAAAGUCGGGAAGCUGGCAGCAGAUUUAUUGGUCCCUUCAGGAUUUCUUCCUUGGUGGGAAAUGUUGAACACCGUCUGGAUUUUCCUGAUGAGCUCAGCCGGAUCUACAAAACCUUCCGUGUGUCUCAGCUUCGGAAGUGUGUCGCCGAUUAGCUCGAAGUUGUUCAUUUGGAUUACAUUCAGGUUGAUGAUCGUCUAAAUUAUGUGAAGAGAUCAGUGACGAUCUUGGAUUGAAAGACGAACACUCUUUGCAACAAAGGAGUAUCACUACACAAGGUCCAGUGGCAUCAUCAGAAGGAUUUCGAAUGGAAGUGGGAGCCUGAGGCGGCGAUGCGAGAGCACUACCUUAAUUUAUUUGCAACAACAGACUUUGAGGACGAAGUCUAGUUCAAGUGGGGGAGAGAUGUAACAUCUUGAUUUCCAAGUAUUUUAAAAUUUUACAAUUGAUUUGAGUUUGGUUUUAAAAUUUAGUCCCAAGCGGUAUUUUCGUAAUUUUUGCGUAGGACUCUCGUACGUUGGGCGUACGUGGCGAGGGUGCAAACCCUAAAUUUUAUGGUUUGGACCCUAUUUAAGCAUCAUUAAAGACCAGACCCUCAUUUAUCUUCAGCCUCCAUCCCUAUCUCGAAACCCUAAAGUAAGUGAGUGAGUUUUGAAGCGUGAUGAGCCUUUUUAGUGCCAUUCUAGUGCUCUUAGUGGUGAAGGAGGAACCUAGAAGUUGUGGUGUUUCACUCAAGGCUUUGGAUCCUAGAACUACUCUGUCUUGUUCAUCUUCUGGAGGUAUAAAGCUACGAAUUGAUGACUACCCUAUCUCGAAACCCUAAAGUAAGUGAGUGAGUUUUGAAGCGUGAUGAGCCUUUUUAAUGCCAUUCUAGUGCUGUUAGUGGUAAAGGAGGAACCUAGAAGUUGUGGUGUUUCACUCAAGGCUUUGGAUNNNNNNNNNNNNNNNNNNNNNNNNNNNNNNNNNNNNNNNNNNNNNNNNNNNNNNNNNNNNNNNNNNNNNNNNNNNNNNNNNNNNNNNNNNNNNNNNNNNNNNNNNNNNNNNNNNNNNNNNNNNNNNNNNNNNNNNNNNNNNNNNNNNNNNNNNNNNNNNNNNNNNNNNNNNNNNNNNNNNNNNNNNNNNNNNNNNNNNNNNNNNNNNNNNNNNNNNNNNNNNNNNNNNNNNNNNNNNNNNNNNNNNNNNNNNNNNNNNNNNNNNNNNNNNNNNNNNNNNNNNNNNNNNNNNNNNNNNNNNNNNNNNNNNNNNNNNNNNNNNNNNNNNNNNNNNNNNNNNNNNNNNNNNNNNNNNNNNNNNNNNNNNNNNNNNNNNNNNNNNNNNNNNNNNNNNNNNNNNNNNNNNNNNNNNNNNNNNNNNNNNNNNNNNNNNNNNNNNNNNNNNNNNNNNNNNNNNNNNNNNNNNNNNNNNNNNNNNNNNNNNNNNNNNNNNNNNNNNNNNNNNNNNNNNNNNNNNNNNNNNNNNNNNNNNNNNNNNNNNNNNNNNNNNNNNNNNNNNNNNNNNNNNNNNNNNNNNNNNNNNNNNNNNNNNNNNNNNNNNNNNNNNNNNNNNNNNNNNNNNNNNNNNNNNNNNNNNNNNNNNNNNNNNNNNNNNNNNNNNNNNNNNNNNNNNNNNNNNNNNNNNNNNNNNNNNNNNNNNNNNNNNNNNNNNNNNNNNNNNNNNNNNNNNNNNNNNNNNNNNNNNNNNNNNNNNNNNNNNNNNNNNNNNNNNNNNNNNNNNNNNNNNNNNNNNNNNNNNNNNNNNNNNNNNNNNNNNNNNNNNNNNNNNNNNNNNNNNNNNNNNNNNNNNNNNNNNNNNNNNNNNNNNNNNNNNNNNNNNNNNNNNNNNNNNNNNNNNNNNNNNNNNNNNNNNNNNNNNNNNNNNNNNNNNNNNNNNNNNNNNNNNNNNNNNNNNNNNNNNNNNNNNNNNNNNNNNNNNNNNNNNNNNNNNNNNNNNNNNNCAUGCUGAUUUAUAUAUAAGGUUACAGACACGGCAAGAGGCAGGAUAUGCAAAAUUCUGCUUUAAUUGAACUUUUUGUGAAAGAUUUCCUAUUGCAGGUCCACUAGUCUGAUUCUCUUCUUACUCUCAUAAGCUCCCUCGAUUGUAACCCCACUAUCUGUUUCAAGUUUCAACCAUUACCCUCCAAUUAUGUUCAAAUGUGUAUAAACUAUAAAAGGCGUUGAAAGAUUCUCACAUCCACAUAUUCACCCUACACCUAUCACCAUAUAUUUGGAAGACUGCAUCUGAUUGUGCACCUGCCUUUUCUUCUGAUUUUUAUUCGUGUGUAUUCUGCACCCUGUAAUUUACCAGCUAGCUUCCAAUCUUUUUGUGUUUAUAAAUCUGCGGUUCUAGAAAAAAGUUGUAGAGAGAAUGAAGAGCAGCUUACCAAGUAAAUAAAGAUCCAGUUGAAAAAAAUUGAUUUAUCAAUCCCCCUCUAUUCUUUCCAAUUGAUAACUAUAGUUACUGUUGGUGAUAAUGAAAAGCAUUGACGAUGGAGUAGACUUUGAAAUAUAAGGGAAAGGAUGCAGCAACCAUUUGAUCAAGGAGAGGUUUUCGGAUUGCGUUGGAGGAACGAUUUCUGUUUACAUAUGUUGAAUAACAAUAAACUAGUUAACGAUUUAUUUUAGGUUUAAAACACAAACAGGUAAUAAGCCGAUUUAAAUGAAAGAAAAUUCACAAAAAAUAACGACUAUAAAGAACAAUUAGAAAAAGAAUUAAAAACACAGUUUCUUAAAUUUUUUUAUUUAAAAUCAUUUUUUUAAAUAAUGUAAAACUAUAUUGCAAAAAUAAGGUGCAAAUUUGUAAAAACAAAUCCGAAGCUAAUUCAUAAUUUUUUUUUUUAAAUCCGGUGCCGAACUUGCUAUAGCCCAUCACACAGUAAACAAUUUCGAUUAAAAUCAUCGUCGGGGGAGGUGGGGGGGUAUUUCUGAUGGUUUCUGUGAGGACGAGCUCAUGAAGUCAAGGUGGAUAGAUGAUGAGGGUUGGUUUAGGGUACGACAAAAUACAAUGAAUUUGAAGCCAACAUCGGGAAGGGUCAUUGAAACUUAAUCAUCAGCAAGUAAGUUCUCAUGUUCUUGUUCAGCGUAUGCUAGAAUAAAAUAAAUUCUAGGAGAAAUUGAGAUGAUAAGAACAUCAUCCUCGUCAUUACAGCCAGAUAGAUCGAUUGAGAGGGAAGUAAAAGGUAGGAGAUGGCGAUUUCCAUCUACUAACACCUCAUAGAUUGAUGUUUAAGCUAACUUUAUUCAAAUAGUGCGUGGAGGAAUCUAAUGUUUAAUUUUAAGGUAUGAGUUAUUCCCAUUUGUAUUGAACUUAGGUUUGAAGCGUGUAGUGGAAAUAAAAAUCCGUUUCGUGUUCAUUUUAGGGACAGAGUUUUGUUUUUAACCAUUUGUAGAUAAUUUAUGUGGUUGCAAACUCCGAUCUAUCACCCACUUGAUAGAUUUGGUGUGUUUGGGUGAAAAACAUAAUUAUGAACCCUAUGUUUCCAAUUGGGGGUUACGUGUGUUGGAUUGCCAGCCCAGACGGCGUGAGAAUGUGAACGAUUCAAACGCUCAAAGAUAUGCUUCAGUCUUAUGUAUUAGAUUUUGGAGGGAGUUGGAAUACUUACCUUCCACUUGCUGAGUUCUCCUACAAAAGCAGUUAUCAUGUCGGUACUCACUGGCCAUCGUUUAAGAUGUUAUAUGGAAGGAGGUGCAACACACGGUUUGCUCGGGGGAGGUCGGGCAUCGGGUCAUGGGUGUAAUGAGGUGGUACUCAAGACCAUUGAAUUGAUUCAGUAGGUACACGACAGGCUGCGAGUCACAUAAAGCCGAUAGGGGAGUUACGCAGAUCGGGGAUGUUCGGACCUCAUGUUUCAGGAGGGGGAUUUUGUGCAUCUAAAGGUGUCACCUUGGAAUGGUGUCAUCCGAUUUCCAAAGUCAAGAAGCUGGCCGCAGAUUUAUUGGUCCCUUCAGGAUUUCUUCCUUGGUUGGAAAUGUUGCAUACCGUCUGGAUUUGCCUGGUGAGCUCAGCCGGAUCUACAAAACCUUCCAUGUGUCUCAGCUUCGAAGUGUGUCGCCGAUUAGCUCGUAGUUGUUUCUUUGGAUUACAUUCAGGUUGAUGAUCGUCUGAAUUAUGUGAAGCGACCGGUGAUGAUGUUGGAUUGGAAGACGAUCACUCUUUUGCAACAAAGGAAUAUCUCUACACAAGGUCCAAUGGUAUCGUCGGAAGGAUUUCGAAUGGAAGUGGGAGCCUGAGGCAACGAUGCGAGAGCACUACCCUAAUUUAUUCGCAACAACAGAUUAUGAGGACGAAUUAUAGUUCAAGUGGGGGAGAGUUGUAACAUCUUGACUUCCAAGUAUUUUAAAGAUUUACACUUGAUUUGAGUUUAGUUUUAAAAUUUAGUCCCAAGGGGUAUUUUUGUAAUUUUUGCGUAGGACUCACGUACGUUGGGUGUACGUGGCGAGGGUGCAAACCCUAAAUCUUAUGGUUUGGACCCUAUUUAAGCAUCAUUAUAGCCCCAUACCUCAUUUAUUUUGAGCCUCCAUCCCUAUCUCAAAACCCUAAAGUAAGUGAGUGCGUUUUGAAGCGUGAUGAGCCUUUUUACUGUCAUUCUAGUGCUUUUAGUGGUGAGGGAGGAACCUAGAAGUUGUGGUGAAUCACUCAAGGCUUUGGAUCCUACAACUAAUUAAGAUGUAGUUUAGUUUAAAGUUAGCACCUUUUUGUACCAAAUCUUGAUUCUUAUGAGUAUUGAGUACUCCAAGAUGUUUGAGUUGUCUUUUCAGAUGUUAUAGGGUGUGUUAAGUCAUAAAAAUAUGAUCUUGGACAUUAGUUCCUUCACAUGCAUGAUCUAGAUUGUCUUCAUGGGUCAAGAGACUAGGGUCUUUGGUAAUACGGUCUUAUUAGCCAUGAAAAACCAAAAAGUUGGAAACUUUAUGGUUCUAAACACUUGUUAGGGUCUUGAUCUAGAUUUUGGACGUAAGGCUUAAGGAUUUAGCAUUUAAUGGAUUGGGUGGGUGGCAACCACAAACGUUGGGCAUAGCAACGGGUAGACUACACGUUCAGGGUCAUCCCUUUGACAUUGGUCAACCGAGUAGUAUUACCCAUUUCUAGAAUACUAAGUUAUUCCAAAUUCUCGUUCGUACUUUUGGAAGUAAGUAGCGAUUUAAGAUUGUAACGGAGCAUUGGUAGAUUGUCCAUGGUGAUGCAUAAAGAAAAUUUUGGAACAGAUGCUCAUGAGUACUUUAAAUGGAGAUUUUAAGGUAUUGGAUUAACUCACUCUUAGAGAUUACUUCAUGGAUUCUAUUACAAGUAAUUCUAAGAUGGUAAUAUCAUAUAUACGUCAAAUGGAGAUGCUUGGGAUUCUCUCCUACAAACUUUUUUGUUUUGGUUUCCCCCAAACAUUGUUCGUAAAUGGCAAUCAUAAAGGGUUUGACUAGAUAUGACAUGAGCAAUAGGCAGAAUCUUUUAAGUCGAAGUUUGUUUGUUUGCUUCUCCCUCAAAAAAUAAAACCAGGACUUAACUUCCNCUCAAAAAAUAAAAACAGAUAUCAUUGUUCCCAUCGAUGAUUUGAUUUUGACAUUAAAAUACAUGGUCGUGCUCAUACUAAAUUGAUGGAUAAAUUAUGCAGUUUUCUUUUGAUUGAUAGAAGUUAGUAUCGGGAAACAAAAUCUUGAACAAUUGAGAUUGAAUAUAUCUAUGUCUCAUUUUCAUAUACAUAUCUUGAAGAAUAAAGGAACAUUUGAUUACUUAUCUAAGGCAUAUAUCACAAUCAUGUGUUUUGAGUAUGGAAAAUACAUUUGACUAGAUCGUCUCUACUCAUUACUAGUAAAUAUUAGACCAUAUAGUGUUCGUGACUUGUGCAAGUUGAGGUCUUAGAAGAUGGUGCCUAGAGUUACAACACAGUGACAACAAUUAGUACAAGCGGAUUGAUAUGUAAGUUAUUAGUACAUAAUGUUAUAAGAUGCAAGUUUGGGUAUACACAUAACCGUUAUUACCCAUUGAGGGGUGACUCACCUGAUAAUAAAAAGAAAAUAUAAAAAGACAAGUUUAGUUUUAUGUAAAACCCAUUAACAAGUUGUUAUAAACAUGUAGUAGUUGUAAUAUAUCUUAAAAACUGUGCAUAAAAUGAAUAUCUAAAAAGAGAAAUUGAAUUAGUAAAAAAAAUUAAUUUCUUAAACAAAUUUCUAAAAAAACUAGUUUCUUAAAAAUGUAAAAACAAACUUGUAUAAACAAGUUGUGGCAAAUUUUUAAACAAAGUUACAGCCAAAGUAAUAUUGAAAAUAAAAACAUUGGCAAUCUUGUAAAGAAAAGGCAACCUCUAAACAUACAAACCUGCAAUAACGAGUCAUUGUGAUAAAGAAGAAAUAAAACAUUGGCUUUUCUUACUUCUACAAACAAUAAAAUGUUAACAUGUAACUUUUAUAUAUUUAAAAUAUUUGGUAACACAUUUAGUUUUGGUAUUAGCCAUUUAUUUGGUUUUGCAACCAUUGAUAGCAAACAUCGCACAUGCACAUAGAGGCUCACACGCACACAGUCAGAUUCAAUUGGGGAUGGAGGGAACAACUAGAAAUAAUGAUAACUGGAUUCUAUAAUAAACGAUAAACCUUGAAACACGUUGUGUUAAUGCUAAUAAUAUGCGUGAAGCAUAAAUCAUUGAGAAAGAUUGCUAACCAGCUGCAACUGCAUAUGCUAAUGUACAUAAAAGAUCACAUGAUGAAACGUUUACCAGCAAUAGCAAUGCGUGAGACUCUACUAUUUUGGUGUCAAGUAGCCCUUGGAGUUCCCCCAAACACUUCAGUAGGAAAUCAUUAAUAAAGCAUCCCAAUGUAGUGUUCGGAGGAUCUCUGAGGGACACUUGGCUUUUCCAUCAUCUGUAUUUGCUUGAAGUUGAUUCAGUGGUGGACCUAUGUAGGGCCUUUGGGUCCCGGGCCACUGCUCAAUUUCCGGCACACAGUGUAAAUUUUUUUUUUUGGUUUUUUUCUAUUAGGUGCACCCGGUUGAAGUACGAGGGACACCCCUACUAAAACAGUCUGCGUCCACCACUGAGUUGAUUGCUUUGUUUUGAUAAUAAACAUGCCAGAAUUACUUGGUAUAUAUAUAGAGAGAGGGAGUAGAGGUGAUUUUCUGGUCGAUGAACAUGGAUGUUGGUGCAGGGCCCUGAUCAAAAAGUAUGCCCAAAUAAGGAAAAAAUAGAGUUGCAGGGAAAGAUUCCAGCUUUUCUUCUUAUUCAAUUUCUGAUACUAAAACAAAAGACUUACAAGGCUUUAAAUAAUAAGCAAAACGGAAAAACUGCUAAGCUAAAAAACUGUAAAAACGUGUCCUCCUAAAAUGGUGGCAGCUACACCACUUAUUCCUUUAGACAAGGUCAACAAAGGACCAAGUCAGAAUUACUUAUCCCACAGACUCCCCUUUAAUUCUGAUUUUUGUCUUCAAGCUUCACAACUACCAAGAGAUACCUCAUCUCUAUAAACUUGAGUCUAGGUAGGGAUUUUGUCAAGGGGUCUGCUCUCUGUUCUUCACCACUAAUGUGCUUCACUUCAAUUUGGUUCCUUUCAAUACAUCCACGUAUGAAAUGGAAUUUAGUAUCAAUAUGCUUGCUCCUUCCGUGAAAGACUGGAUUUUGCAUAAGGGCUAUGGCAGAUUUGUUGUCUACAUACAUCCUGACACUUUCUUCUUUCAAGCCAAUCAACUCUUUUAGUAAACUCCUUAGCCAUAAAGCUUGACAUGCUGNUGCUGCUGCAGCCAUAAAUUCCGCCUCACACGAACUUAGAGCCACCGUUUGUUGCUUCUGGGAUGACCAAGUAAUUGGAUUUCCUGAUAAGUAGAAAAUCAUUCCUGUUGUACCCUUCCUACCAUCAAUGUCCAUUCCAUAGCUGCUAUCACUGAAUAGAAUAAGCUUUCCAUCUCCGCCUUUCUUGUACACUAAACCAAAGUUGGUUGUUCCUCUUAUGUACCUUAAAAUAUGUUUGACUGCCUUCAAAUGACUCUCCCUUGGUGAUUCCAUGUACCUGCUUACUACUCCCACUGAAUAGCUAAGAUCUGGUCUUGAGUGUAUGAGGUAACGAAGGCUGCCAAUAAGUCGUCAGUACUCAGUAGCAUUAACCGGCACUCCAUCUUCAUCCUUUGAUAAGCGUAUAUGUGGUUCCAUUGGGUAUUGACUUGGGUUACACUCUNCUAUUUUAAGAAUCUUCUUAGCAUACCCUGUUUGACUUAUUGUGAUACCAUCUUUGCUUUGGUGAACUUCUAUCCCCAAGUAGUAGGACAGAAUUCCCAAGUCACUCAUGUCAAAGAUAUUCAGCAUUCGUUUUUUGAACUCAUUCACCAGCUCUUCAUUUGUUCCUGUUACGAUCAGAUCAUCCACGUACACUCCAACUAUCAAGACUUGGUUUGACUUAUGGAGUUUAUACACAGCAUACUGCUGUGGACAUCUCUUGAAUCCCAUCUCUUUCAAAGUUUUGUCAAGUCUAUCAUUCCAAGCUCUCGGAGCCUGACGGAGACCAUAGAGUGCCUUGUUCAACCUGUACACCAUGUUCUCUUUUCCUUCAAUGACAAAUCCAGUUGGUUGUGUAACAUAUACUUCCUCCUGUAAGAACCCAUUUAAAAAUGCUGAUUUCACGUCCAAAUGGUGAACUUUCCAUCCUCCACUUGCUGCCAAGGCCAACAGCGCCCGUAUUGUUUCCAGACGUGCUACCGGCGCAAAAACCUCAUCGAAAUCGAUACCCUUUUUCUGUACAUAUCCCUUGGUGACUAUUCUGGCCUUGUAUUUGGUCACGUUUCCUUCAACAUCUUUCUUUAAUUUAAAGACCCACUUCAAACCUAUUGCUUUUUGACCUUUAGGAAGGUGAGUCAACUUCCAAGUAUCAUUCUUUUCAAUGGAUUCCAACUCCUGUUUCAUUGCUUUUAUCCAUUCUUCUUCACUCGAGGCUUCUUCAUAGGUAGUGGGUUCUUCUCCAGCAUACAUUAAAACUUCUGAAUCUUCUUGUAGGGCUUGCGUUUCCUCGUAUAUAUCAGCCAAGGACCGAAAGCCACGAACUGGUGUGUUAUCGUAUGUUUCUCUGUCUACACUAAGACCUUCGUCUGAGGAUGGAGAUCCGAUGCCCGCAAAUGAGUUUGGUGAUUCACCCCUUUCGUUGCCAGUUUGUGAUUGACCAGGAGAUGUCGGUUGUGAGUGGCUUUCACUGGAUUGUGAAUUAGGGCUUGCCAUCUCCCCUUGUAUUGUAUCGUUCCCCACCACACAUUCUUGGGCCAUACCUUCACUGGGAAAUCUGACCCAAUCAUUUAAAAUUGGGCCUUCAGAUUGGGGCUUAGCCCAAUCCCCUUUCUUUUUCUCUUCAAAUAUAACAUCACGGGAUACCCAAAUUCUCUUCCGAUUAGGGCAGUACAGGCGGUAGCCUUUUGUUCCCUCCUCGUUUCCUAGAUAGAUCAACUUCUUACUUCUAUCACUCAAUUUUGUGAGCUGAUUCGAUGGCACUCUUACAUGAGCAACACAACCAAACACUUUAUAGUGUUCGAGUGUUGGUUUCUUCCCCUGCAUAGCUUCAUAUGGGGUCAUAUUCUUGACUCCUUUUGUUGGCACUCUAUUAAGUAUCUGAACCGCGUGGCGAACGGCUUCCCCCCAAAGUGUUUCUGGGACAUCCAUUGCUUUCAAUAAGGACCUGGUGGCUUCAAGAAUUGUUCGAUUCCGACGCUCUACUACCCCGUUCUGUUGUGGGGAGUAGGGCGUUGUCAAUUGUCUUUUAAUUCCCUCCUGGUUGCAAUAAUCAUUGAAUUCUUUAGACGUGAAUUCACCUCCUCGGUCUGUGCGCAACAUUUUUAGUUUGAACUUCCCUUCAGCUUCUACACGAGUCUUGAACUUCUUGAACGCAUCAAAUGCUUGACUUUUGGUUCUGAUCAUCGUCACCCACAUAUAUCUGCUACAAUCAUCUACUAUGAGGAGGAAAUAUUGAUUACCUCCUAUAGUUUGGGGUGUUAUUGGGCCACAGAGGUCUGCAUGUACCAAUUCUAGAGGAUUCAUUGCUUGCCAUUGAGUUUCUUUUGCGAACGGUUGUCGUGUUUGUUUUGCGAUUAGACAUCCUUCACAAACUUGUGUGGGAUGGUUGAUUCUCGGCACUCCAAUCACCAGCUCUUUCUCUACCAUGGACUCAAUCAAGGGAAAAUUUAUAUGCCCCAGCCUUGCAUGCCAAAGCCAAGCAACAUCAUCCAAACUUGCACUUAGACAUAUUGGUUGUGACGUAUGGAGCACGAUCUUGUACAACCGGUUUCUCGAGCGCUGUACCUUCAUGAUCAGCCGAUUUCUUGCAUCAUGAACUCUCAAAAAUUCAUGGAUCAUCUCAAUUCUGUACCCCACUUCUGUCAUUUGACCAAGACUAAGUAUAUUACUCUUCAAGGCAGGGAUGUAAUAUACUUCAGAUAUUAUCUGCUGCUCCCCGUUUUUACACUCUAACAAAAUCAUUCCUCUUCCUUUGAUUGUACUUUGGAUCCGUCCCCAAAUCUCACUUGCCCUGUUAUUCUUUCAUCAAGUUCUGCAAAGUAUUCUCGCACCCCUGUCAUGUGGUUACUGGCCCCAUUGUCUAAAUACCAUGUGUCCUUCUCAUUCCCUUUUGUUGCUGGGAAUACUUUGUCUUCAUUGAGCAACACCCAUUCAUCUGUAUCUUCACCCCAUACAGUUAACAAUAGUGCAUGUUCUUCUUCCUGUACCUGUGUGAGAUUAACAUUAGCUUCUUUUCUCUUGGGAUUUGGGCACUCCGAUGCAAAGUGUCCAAACAAGUCACAAUUAAAACAUUUUAUGUGACUUUUAUCUCUUCCCUUUCCUCGACCAUUACUUGUAUCUCGGAAUGAUUGCUGAUUGCCUCGGCCGCCUCUACCUCUUGAGCCUCUUCCUCGAUAACCUCCUCGACCUCCCCUUUCAUUAGAAGAUCCACGACCUCUUCCUGCUGCACUAGGAGAGCCCUUCUGUGAUUUUUGACCCAUUUGCCCUUCAGAUCGAGUCAGCAACAAACCCGCUUCAGCAUUCGAGUUUUCACCCCGAACUCGUAGUCGAUCUUCAUAGGCCUUGAGUCUGCCUAUAGCUUCUUCAAAUGGCAUUGUAUCCAAGUCUGAAUACUGUUCAAUCGAGGCCACAAGCUCUAGAAAUUUUUCUGGGACAGAAUCAAGCAACUUUCUCACCAAAGUGUUGUCUUCCAUUGUUGCACCAAGACUGAUGUAUUUUGAGUUAAUACCACUCAACUUUCCUGCAAAUUCAUCUAUGGUUUCUCCUUCUUUCAUCCUCAGUGCAUCAAACUCACUCUUGAGUGAGUGUAACCUCGCCUUUUGCACUCUAUCUGCCCCCAGGUAACGGAAUUUCAACGAUUCCCACACCUCUUUUGCGGUUUUCUUCUUUGCUACCUGCAUGAGAAUGUCCUCCGGUAUUGCUUGGAAGAUGUAGGCUCGUGCCAUCUUGUUCUUCUUCUCGUCAACAAUCACCCCGACUGUUGGUUCUAUGGAUUCCCAAACACCUUGAGCAUCCAUGAUAGCCUCCAUCUUGAUUGCCCACGUUGUAUAGUUUGUUGAAGUCAACAAUGGACAUUGGAACGACACCCCACCGUUAUCUCUUGGUACUUGUUGACUGGAACCUGUCAUGUUGUCGUACCUUAUGUAUUUGGGCAUAAGCUAGAAAGCUCUGAUACCAAGUGUUGGUGCAGGGCCCCUGUUACUGAUCAAAAAGUAUGCGCAAAUAAGGAAAAAAUAGAGUUGCAGGGAAAGAUUCCAGCUUUUCUUCUUAUUCAAUUUUUGAUACUAAAACAAGAGACUUACAAGGCUUUAAAUAAUAAGCAAAAGGGAAAAACUGCUAAGCUAAAAAAUUGUAAAAACGUGUNACGUGCCAGAAUUACUUGGUAUAUAUAGAGGGAGAGGGAGUAGAGGUUAUUUUCUGAUCGAUGAACAUGGAUACAUCAGCAGCAUGAACAUGGUUGCCAUCGUGUCUCUAUUAGGAGAUAUAUUUUCCCAUAAUCCCAAUUUUCACAUAAAGGGAAAUAUAUGAGAGUGACGAGUUAUGCUGAGGACCAGGUGAACAUGGGUAUCAUAUUCUCAUUUGAUCAUCUAUCCCAUAUACAUUACCACAUUCAAUCUCUGACCUACCAUAUAUAACAUAUUAGCACAAGAUUUGAUAAUGGGAAAGAGAUGUAUAUUGAUUAUUAAUUCAAAACUAGAAUUGAAUCGAGUAUACCAUGACUGCAAUAUCAUGUAAAUAAAUGAUGCAUGCUGAUUUAUAUAUAAGGUUACAGACACGGCAAGAGGCAGGACAUGCAAAAUUCUGCUCUAAUUGAACUUUUUGUGAAAGAUUUCCUAUUGCAGGUCCACUAGUCUGAUUCUCUUCUUACUCUCAUAAGCUCCCUCGAUUGUAACCCCACUAUCCUUUUUCAAGUUUCAACCAUUACCCUCCAAUUAUGUUCAAAUGUGUAUAAACUAUAAAAGGCGUUGAAAGAUUCUCACAUCCACAUAUUCACCCUACACCUAUCACCAUAUAUUUGGAAGACUGCAUCUGAUUGUGCACCUGCUUGUAAUUUUCUUUUCUUCUGAUUUUUAUUUGUGUGUAUUCUGCACCCUGUAAAUUACCAGCUAGCUUCCAAUCUUUUUGUGUUUAUAAAUCUGCGGUUCUAGAAAAAAGUUGUAGAUAGAAAGAAGAGCAACUUACCAAGUAAAUAAAGAUCCAGUUGAAAAAAAUUGAUUUAUCAAUCCCCCUCUAUUCUUUCCAAUUGAUAACUAUAGUUACUGUUGGUGAUAACGAAGAGCAUUGACGAUGGGGUAGAUUUUGAAAUAUAAGGGAAAGGAUGCAGCAACCACUUGAUCAAGGAGAGGUUUUCCGAUUGCGUUGGAGGAACGAUUUCUGUUUACAUAAGUUGAAUAAUAAUAAACUAGUUAACGAUAUAUUUUAGGNUUAACGAUUUAUUUUAGGUUUAAAACACAAACAGGUAAUAAGCCGAUUUAAAUGUAAAAAAUUUACAAAAAAUAACGACUAUAAAGAACAAUUAGAAAAAGAAUUAAAAACACAGUUUCUUAAAUUUUUUUAUUUAAAAUCAUUUUUUUAAAAUAAUGUUAAACUAUAUUGCAAAAAUAUGAUGCAAAUUUGUAAAAACAAAUCCGAAGCUAACUCAUAAUUUUUUUUUUAAUCCAGUGCCGAACUUGCUAUAGCCCAUCACUCAGUAAGCAAUUUCGAUUACAAUCAUCGUCGGGGUAGGUNGGGGGUGUAUUUCUGAUGGUUUCUGUGAGAACGAGAUCAUGAAGUCAAGGUGGAUAGAUGAUGAGGGUUGGUUUAGGGUACGCCAAAAUACAGUGAAUUUGAAGCCAACAUCGGGAAGGUUAUUGAAACGUAAUCAUCAGCAAGUAAGUUCUCAUGUUCUUGUUCAGCGUACGCUAGAAUAAAAAAAUUCCAAGAGAAAUUGAGAUGAUAAGAACAUCAUCCUCGUCAUUACAGCUAGAUAGAUCGAUUGAUAGGGAGGUAAAAGGUAGGAGAUGGCGAUUUUCAUCUACUAACACCUCAUAGAUUGAAUUUUAAGCUAACUUUAUUCAAUUGGUGCGUGGAGGAAUCUAAUGUUUAAUUUUAAGGUAUGAGUUAUUCCUGUUUGUAUUUAACAUAGGUUUGAAGCUUGUAGUGGAAAUCAAAAUCCUUUUAGUGUUCAUUUGAGGGAGAGGGUUUUGUUUUUAACCAUUUCCAGAUAAUUGAUGUGGUUACAUGCUCCGAUCUAUCACCCACUUGAUAGAUUUGGUGUGUUCGGGUGAAAAACAUAAUUAUGAACCCUAUGUUUCCAAUUGGGGGUUACUUGUGUUGGAUUGCCACCCCAGACGGCGAGAUCAAGCGAACGAUUCAGACGCUCAAAGAUAUGCUUCGGUCUUAUGUAUUAGAUUUUGGAGGGAGUUGGAAUACUUACCUUCCACUGGCGGAGUUCUCCUACAAAAGCAGUUAUCAUGCCAGUAUUCACCGACCAUCGUUUAAGAUGUUAUAUGGAAGGAGGUGCAAUACCCGGUUUGCACGUGGGAGGUUGGGCUUUGGGUCAUGGGUGUAAUGAGGUGGUACUCAAGACCAUUGAAUUGAUUCAGUAGGUGCACGACAGGCCGCGAGUCGCGUAAAGCCGAUACGAGAGUUAAGCAGACCGGGGACAUUCGUGUUGGAUUAAUGUCUAAGUCCAUAACUAUAAUUGGUAAGACUUGACCCGACCUGGCAUGGUCCAUUUGGGUUGCAUGGCAUCAUGCAUUUGGAUAGACUAAAAUGAGAGAAAUAACACUUAAGGUUUGUUAAUAUAUUAUAAGUUCUAAUAUAUUAAUAAGGUUAUUUAAUUAGUAUUGAUCAAGAAUUACUUUGGAAUUAAUUAAGUGAUCAAAAGGAGACUAAUUAAAUAUAUGGGUUGAUUGUGUAAAUCAUUCAUUCUUAUAUAUGUGGGCUUGUGAUCCAAGAUUCCUUAUGUUGGACUAAGUCCAUGGGAUGCUCCAUGGAGGUUAAAAUCCAUGGAGCAUAAGGAAUGGGUAAAGUCAUGAGUUACAUGGUGUAACCCUAAUAGCCACCAUAUAAAAGAAUCCCAUGGCUCAAGAAAUCGUGCACUAUGAGUAUGUGUGAGGGCUAAACGAUUUCAUGGAGUGUUCAAGUUUCUCUCAAGUUAAUCCAAGUGUAUUUGGUGUUGUGUGAAGCAUUUGAGGUGUCACACUUGGGGCACUAGGCACUCAAGCUUCAUGAAGACUUUCUACAUAAAGAGGUAUGUAUUCUAUCUUGUUAUAUUCAUUGUUUUGUAUGCUAGAUUAGGAUAAUACCUUGGAUGUUCAUAAUUGCAUGUAUAAUAGAGAAAACAUAGAUCCAAGGUAUUUAGGGUUGCAUGUACACUUAGGAGUGUUAGAAUGCUCAAAACCCAACAGUUCGAACCUCGUGUUUCAGGAGGGGGAUUUUGUGCAUCUAAAGAUGUCACCUUGGAAAGGUGUCAUCCGAUUUCCAAAGUCGGGAAGCUGGCCUCAGAUUUAUUGGUCCCUUCAGGAUUUCUUCCUUGGUUGGAAAUCUUGCGUAAGUCUGGAUUUGCCUGAUGAGCUCAGCCGGAUCUACAAAACCUUCCAUGUGUCUCAGCUUCGAAGUGUGUCGCUGAUUAGCUCGCAGUUGUUCCUUUGGAUUACAAUCAGGUUGAUGAUCGUCUGAAUUAUGUGAAGAGACCGGUGAUGAUGUUGGAUUGGAAGACGAUCACUCUUUUCAAACAAAGGAGUAUCUCUACACAAUGUCCAAUGGCAUCAUCGGAAGGAUUUCGAAUGGAAGUGGGAGCCUAAGGCAAUGAUGUGAGAGCACUACCCUAAUUUAUUCGCAACAACAGACUUUGAGGACGAACUCUAGUUCAAGUGGGGGAGAGUUGUAACAUCUUGAGUUCCAAGUAUUUUAAAAUUUUACACUUGAUUUGAGUUUGGUUAUAAAAUUUAGUCCCAAGGGGUAUUUUCGUACUUUUUGCGUAGGACUCACGUACGUUGGGUGUACGUGGCGAGGGUGCAAACCCUAAAUCUUAUGGUUUGGACCCUAUUUAAGCAUCAUUAUAGCCCCAUACCCCAUUUAUCUUCAGCCUCCAUCCCUAUCUCGAAACCCUAAAGUAAGUGAGUGCGUUUUGAAGCGUGAUGAGCCUUUUUUUGUGCCAUUCUAGUGCUUUUAGUGGUGAAGGAGGAACCUAGAAGUUGUGGUGUUAAGUCAUAAAAAUAUGAUCUUGGACAUUAGUUCCUUCACAUGCAUGAUCUAGAUUGUCUUAAUGGGUCAAGAGACUAGGGUCUUUGGUAAUACAGUCUUAUUAGCCAUGAAAAACCAAAAAGUUGGAAACUUUAUAGUUCUGAACACUUGUUAGGGUCUUGAUCUAGAUUUUGGAUGUAAGUCUUAAGGAUUUAGCGUUUAAUGGAUUGGAUGGGUGGCAGCCGCGAACGUUGGGCAUAGCAACGGGUAGAUUGUACGUUCAGGGUCAGCCCUUUGACAUUUGGUCAAGCGAGUAGUAUUACCCAUUUCUAGAAUAUUAAGUUAUUCCAAAUUCUCGUUCGUAAUUUUGGAAGUAAGUAGCGAUUUAAGAUUGUAAGGGACCAUUGGUAGAUUGCCCAAGGUGAUGCAUAAAGAAAAUUUUGCAACAGAUGCUCAUGAGUACUUUAAAUGGAGAUUUUAAGGUAUUUGAGUAACCCACGCUUAGAGUUUACUUCAUGGAUUAUAUUACAAGUAAAUCUAAGAUGGUAAUAUCAUAUAUACGUCAAAUGGAGAUGCUUGGGAUUCUCUCCUACAAUCUUUUUUUGUUUUGGUUUCCCCCAAACAUUCUCUCCUACGCUUAGAGAUUACUUCAUGGAUUCUAUUACAAGUAGUCGAAGUUUGUUUGUUCGCGUUUCCCUCAAAAAAUAAAAAUAGAUAUCAUUGUUCCCAUCGAUGAUUUGAUUUUGACAUUAAAAUACAUGGUCGUGCUCAGACUGAAUUGAUGGAUAAAUUAUGCAGUUUUCUUUUGAUUGAUACAAAUUAGUAUCUGGAAAAAAAAUCUUGAACAUUUGAGAUUGAAUGUAUCAAUGUCUCAUUUUCAUAUACAUAUCUCGAAGAACAAAGGAACAUUUGAUUACAUAUCUAAGGGAUAUAUCACAAUUAUAUGUUUUGAGUAUGGCAAAUACAUUUGACUAGAUCCUCUCUACUCAUUACUAUUAAAUAUUAGACCAUAUAGUCUUGGUGACUUGUGCAAGUUGAGGUCUUAGUAGAGUUACAACACAGUGACAACAAUUAGUACAAGCGGAUUGAUAUGUAAGUUUUUAGUACAUAAUGUUAUAAGAUGGAAGUUUGGGUAUACACAUAACCGUUAUUACCCUUUGAGGGAUGACACACUUGAUAAUAAAAAGAAAAUAUAAAAAGACAAGUUUAGUUUUAUGUAAAACCCAUUAAAAAGUUGUUAUAAACAUGUAGUAGUUGUAAUAUAUCUUAAAAACUGUGCACAAAAUGAAUAUAAAAAAAGACAUUGAAUUAUUAAAAAAAAUCAAUUUCUUAAACAAAUUUCUAAAAAAACUAGUUUCUUAAAAAUGUAAAAACAAACUUGUAUAAACAAGUUGUGGCAAAUUUUUAAACAAAGUUACGGCCAAAGUAAUAUCGAAAAUAAAAACAUUGGCAAUCUUGUAAAGAAAAGGCAACCUCUAAACAUAGAAACCUGCAAUAACGAGUCAUUGUAAUAAAGAAGAAAUAAAACAUUGGCUUUUCUUACUUCUACAAAUAAUAAAAUGUUAACAUGUAACUUUUAUAUAUUUAAAAUAUUUGGUAACACAUUUAGUUUUGGUAUUAGCCAUUUAUUUGGUUUUGCAACCAUAUGAUUGCAAACAUCGCACAGGCACAUAGAGGCUCAAACGUACACAGUCAGAUUCAAUUGGGGAUGGAGGGAACAACUAGAAAUAAUGAUAACUGGAUUCUUGAACAAACGAUAAACCUUCUAACAUGUUAUGUUAAAGCAAAUAAUAUGCGUGAAGCAUAAAUCAUUGAGAAAGAUUGCAAACCAACUGCAACUGCAUAUGCUAUUGUACAUAAAAGAUCACAUGAUGAAACGUUUACCAGCAAGAGCAAUGUGUGAGACUCUACUAUUUUGGUGUCAGGUAGCCCUUGGAGUUCCCCCAAACACUUCAGUAGGAAAUCAUCAAUAAAGCAUCCCAAUGAAGUGUUCGGAGGAGCUCUGAGGGACACCUGGCUUUUCCUUCAUCUGUAUUUGCUUGAAGUUGAUUGCUUUGUUUUGAAAAUACACAUGCCAGAAUUACUUGGUAUAUAUAUAGAGAGAGGGAGUAGAGGUGAUUUUCUGAUCCACGAACAUAGAUACAUCAGCAGCAUGAACAUGGUUGCCAUCGUGUCUCUAUUAGGAGAUAUAUUUUCCCAUAAUCCCAAUUUUCACAUAAAGGGAAAUAUAUGAGAGUGACGAGUUAUGCUGAGGACCAGGUGAACAUGGGUAUCAUAUUUUCAUCUGAUCAUCUAUCCGAUGUACAUGACCACAUUCAAUCUCUGACCUACCAUAUAUAACAUAUUAGCACAAGAUUUGAUAAUGGGAAAGUGAUGUAUAUUGAUGAUUAAUUCAAAACUAGAAUUGAAUCGAAUAUACCAUGACUGCAAUAUCAUGUAAAGAAAUGAUGCAUGCAGAUUUAUAUAUAAGGUUACAUACACGGCAAGAGGCAGGACAUGCAAAAUUCUGCUCUAAUUGAACUUUUUGUGAAAGAUUUCCUAUUGCAGGUCCACUAGUCUGAUUCUCUUCUUACUCUCAUAAGCUCCCUCGAUUGUAACCCCACUAUCAUUUUCAAGUUUCAACCAUUACCCUCCAAUUAUGUUCAAAUGUGUAUAAACUAUAAAAGGCGUUGAAAGAUUCUCACAUCCACAUAUUCACCCUACACCUAUCACCAUAUAUUUGGAGACUGCAUCUCAUUGUGCACCGGCUUGUAAUUUUCUUUUCUUCUGAUUUUCAUUCGUAUGUAUUCUGCACCCUGUAAUUUACCAGGUAGCUUCCAAUCUUUAUGUUUUUAUAAAUCUGCGGUUCUAGAAAAAAGUUGUAGAGAGACCGAAGAGCAACUUACCACGUAAAUAAAGAUCCAGUUGAAAAAAAUUGAUUUAUCAACCCCCCUCUAUUCUUUCCAAUUGAUAACUAUAGUUACUGUUGGUGAUAAUGAAGAGCAUUGACGAUGGAGUAGACUUUGAAUGAUAUGGGAAAGGAAGCAGCAACCAUUUGAUCAAGGGGAGGUUUUCUGAUUGCGUUGGAGGAACGAUUUUGUUUACAUAAGUUGAAUAAAAAUAAACUAGUUAACGAUUUAUUUUAGGUUUAAAACACAAACAGGUAAUAAGCCGAUUUAAAUGUAAGAAAAUUUACAAAAAAUAACGACUAUAAAGAACAAUUAGAAAAAGAAUUAAAAAAAUAGUUUCUUAAAUUUUUUUUAUUUAAAACCAUUUGUUUAAAUAAUGUAAAACUAUAUUGCAAAAAUAUGGUGCAAAUUUGUAAAAACAAAUCCGAAGCUAAAUCAUAAUUUUUUUUUUUUUAAAUCCGGUGCCGAACUCGCUAUAGCCCAUCACACAGUAAGCAAUUUUGAUUAAAAUGAUCGUCGGGGUCGGUGGGGNGUCAAGGUGGAUAGAUGAUGAGGGUUGGUUUAGGGUACGACAAAAUACAAUGAAUUUGAAGCCAACAUCGGGAAGGGUCAUUGAAACUUAAUCAUAAGCAAGUAAGUUCUCAUGUUCUCGUUCAGCGUACGCUAGAUUAAAAUAAAUUCUAGGAGAAAUUGAGAUGAUAAGAACAUCAUCCUCGUCAUUACAGCCAGAUAGAUCGAUUGAGAGGGAAGUAAAAGGUAGGAGAUGGCGAUUUCCAUCUACUAACACCUCAUAGAUUGAUGUUUAAGCUAACUUUAUUCAAAUAGUGCGUGGAGGAAUCUACUGUUUAAUUUUAAGGUAUGAGUUAUUCCCAUUUGUAUUGAACUUAGGUUUGGAGCGUGUAGUGGAAAAAAAAAUCCGUUUCGUGUUUAUUUUAGGGACAGAGUUUUGUUUUUAACCAUUUGUAGAUAAUUUAUGUGGUUGCAAACUCCGAUCUAUCACCCACUUGAUAGAUUUGGAGUGUUUGGGUGAAAAACAUAAUUAUGACCUAUGUUUCCAAUUGGGUGUUACGUGUGUUGGAUUGCUACCCCAGAUGGCGAGAGCAAGCGAACGAUUUAGAUGCUCAAAGAUACGCUUCCGACUUAUGUAUUUGAUUUUGGAGGGAGUUGGAAUACUUACCUUCCACUGGCUGAGUUCUCCUACAAAAGCAGUUAUCAUGCCAGUACUCACCGGCCAUCGUUUAAGAUGUUAUAUGGAUGGAGGUGCAAUACCCGGUUUGCAUGGGGGAGGUCGGGCAUCGGGUCAUGGGUGUACUGAGGUGGUACUCAAGACCAUUGAAAUGAUUCAGUAGGUGCACGACAUGUUGCGAGUCCCCUGAAGCCGAUUGGAGAGUUACGCAGAUCGGGGACGUUCGGACCUCGUGUUUCAUGAGGGGGUUUGGUGCUUUUUAAGAUCUCACCUUGGAAAGGUGUCAUCCGAUUUCAAAAGUCGGGAAGCUGGUAGUAGAUUUAUUAGUCCCUUCAGGGUUUCUUCCCUGGUGGGAAAUGUUGCAUACCGUCUGGAUUUUCCUGAUGAGCUCAGCCGGAUCUACAAAACCUUCCAUAUGUCUCAGCUUCGGAAGUGUGCUGCCGAUUAGCUCAAAGUUGUUCCUUUGGAUUACAUUCAGGUUGAUGAUCGUCUGAAUUAUGUGAAGAGAUCGGUGACGAUCUAGGAUUGGAAGACGAGCACUCUUUGCAACAAAGGAGUAUCACUACACAAGGUCUAGUGGCAUCAUCAGAAGGAUUUCGAAUGGAAGUGGGAGCCUGAGGCGGCGAUGCAAGAGCACUACCCUAAUUUAUUUGCAAAAACAGACUUUGAGGACGAAAUCUAGUUUAAGUGGGGGAGAGUUAUAACAUCUUGACUUCCAAGUAUUUUAAAAUUUUACACUUGAUUUGAGUUUGGUUUUAAAAUUUAGUCCCAAGCGGUAUUUUUAUAAUUUUUGCAUGGGAAUCUCGUACGUUGGGCGUACGUGGAGAGGGUGCAAACCCUAAAUUUUAUGGUUUGGACCCUACUUAAGCAUCAUUAUAGCCCCAUACCCUCAUUUAUCUUCAGCCUCCAUCCCUAUCUCGAAACCCUAAAGUAAGUGAGUGAGUUUUGUAGCGUGAUGAGCCUUUUUAGUGCCAUUCUAGUGCUCUUAGUGGUGAAGGAGGAACCUAGAAGUUGUGGUGUUUCACUCAAGGCUUUGGAUCCUACAACUACUCUGUCUUGUCUUGUUCAUCUUCUGGAGAUAUAAAGCUACCACUUGAUGAAUAUUUCAUUAAGAUGUAGUUUAGUUUAAAGUUAGCACCUUUUUGUACCAAAUCUUGAUUCUUAUGAGUAUGGAGUACUCCAUGAUGUUUGAGUUGUCAUUUCAGAUGUUAUAGGGUGUGUUAAGUCAUAAAAAUAUGAUCUUGGACAUUAGUUCCUUCACAUGCGUGAUCUAGAUUGUCUUAUUGGGUCAAGAGACUAGGGUCUUUUUAGCCAUGAGAAACCAUAAAGUUGGAAACUUUAUGGUUCUGAACACUUGUUAGGGUCUUGAUUUAGUUUUUGGACGUAAGUCUUAAGGAUUUAGCAUUUAAUGGAUUGUGUGGGUGGCAGCCACGAAAGUUGGGAAUAACAACGGGUAGACUGCACGUUCGGGGUCAGCCCUUUGAGAUUUGGUCAAGCAAGUAGUAUUACCCAUUACUAGUAUUUUAAGUUAUUAAAAAUUCUCGUUCGUACUUUUGGAAGUAGGUAGUGAUUUAAGAUUGUAAUGAAGCAUUGGUAGAUUGUCCAUGGUGAUGCAUAAAGAAAAUUUUUGAACAAAUGCUCAUGAGUACUUUAAAUGAAGAUUUUAAGGUAUUGGAUUAACCCACACUUAGAGAUUACUUCAUGGAUUCUAUUACAAGUAAUUCUAAGAUGGUAAUAUCAUAUAUCCUUCAAAUGGAGAUGCUUGGGAUUCUCUCCUACAAUCUUUUUUUGUUUUGGUUUCCCCCAAACAUUGUUCGUAAAUGGCAAUCAUAAAGGGUUUGACUAGAUAUGGCAUAAGCAAUAGGCAAAAUCUUUAUAGUCGAAGUUUGUUUGUUCGCUUUUCCCUCAAAAACUAAAAAUAGAUAUCAUUGUUCCCCUCGAUGAUUUGUUGUUGACAUUAAAAUACAUGGUCGUGCUCAGACUGAAUCGAUGGAUCAAUUAUGCAGUUUUCUUUUGAUUGAUAGAAGUUAGUAUCGGGAAACAAAAUCUUGAACAUUUGAGAUCGAAUAUAUAAAUGUCUCAUUUUCAUAUACAUAUCUUGAAGAAUAAAGGAACAUUUGAUUAGUUAUCUAAGGGAUAUAUCACAAUCAUGUGUUUUGAGUAUGGAAAAUACAUUUGACUAGAUCCUCUCUACUCAUUACUAUUAAAUAUUAGACCAUAUAGUCUUGGUGACUUGUGCAAGUUGAGGUCUUAGAAAAUGGUGCCUAGAUUUACAACACAGUGACAACAAUUAGUACAAGCGGAUUGAUAUGUAAGUUAUUAGUACAUAAUGUUAUAAGAUGCAAGUUUGGGUAUACAGAUAACCGUUAUUACCCUUUGAGGGAUGAAUCACCUGAUAAUAAAAAGAAAAUAUAAAAAGACAAGUUUACUUUUAUGUAAAACCCAUUAAAAAGUUGUUAUAAACAUGUAGUAGUUGUAAUAUAUCUUAAAAACUAUGCAUAAAAUGAAAAUAUAAAAAAAGAAAUUGAAUUAGUAAAAAAAAUCAAUUUCUUGNAAAUCAAUUUCUUAAACAAAUUUCUUAGAAAACCAGUUUCUUAAAAAUGUAAAAACAAACUUGUAGAAACAAGUUGUGGCAUAUUUGUAAACAAAGUUACGGCCAAAGUAAUAUUGAAAAUAAAAACAUUGGCAAUCUUGUAAAGAAAAGGUAUCCUCUAAACAAACAAACCUGCAAUAAUGAGUCAUUGUGACAAAGAAGAAAUAAAACAUUGGCUUUUCUUACUUCUACAAAUAAUAAAAUGUUAACAUGUAACUUUUAUAUAUUUAAAAUAUUUGGCAACCCAUUUAGUUUUGGUAAUAGCCAUUUAUUUUGUUUUGCAACCAUAUGAUUGCAAACAUCGCACACGCACAUAGAGGCUCACACGCACACAGUCAGAUUCAAUUCGGGAUGGAGGGAACAACAAGAAAUAAUGAUAACUGGAUUCUAUAACAAACGACAAACCUUCAAAAUCCUUAAUUCAUAGCUAUCAUUUGUAGUUUAAUACUCAUGGAUUUUAGUAAUUGCUGCUCUAGAAAUGCAUUUAGAAAAUUUCAUUAAACCCAAUCACUUACUAAGAAACACGUUGUGUUAAAGCUAAUAAUAUGCGUGAAGCAUAAAUCAUUGAGAAAGAUUGCUAACCAACUGCAACUGAAUAUGCUAAUGUACAUAAAAGAUCACAUGAUGAAACGUUUACCAGCAAUAGCAAUGUGUUAGAUCUACUAUUUUGGUGUCAAGUAGCCCUUGGAGUUCCCCCAAACACUUCAGUAGGAAAUCAUUAAUAAAGCAUCCCAAUGAAGUGUUCGGAGGAUCUCUGAGGGACACUUGGCUUUUCCUACAUCUGUAUUUGCUUGAAGUUGAUUGCUUUGUUUAGAAAAUAAACGUGCCAGAAUUACUUGGUAUAUAUAGAGGGAGAGGGAGUAGAGGUUAUUUUCUGAUCGAUGAACAUGGAUACAUCAGCAGCAUGAACAUGGUUGCCAUCGUGUCUCUAUUAGGAGAUAUAUUUUCCCAUAAUCCCAAUUUUCACAUAAAGGGAAAUAUAUGAGAGUGACGAGUUAUGCUGAGGACCAGGUGAACAUGGGUAUCAUAUUCUCAUUUGAUCAUCUAUCCCAUAUACAUGACCACAUUCAAUCUCUGACCUACAAUAUAUAACAUAUUAGCAUAAGAUUUGAUAAUGGGAAAGAGAUGUAUAUUGAUUAUUCAUUCAAAACUAGAAUUGAAUCGAAUAUACCAUGACUGCAAUAUCAUGUAAAGAAAUGAUGCAUGCUGAUUUAUAUAUAAGGUUACAGACACGGCAAGAGGCAGGACAUGCAAAAUUCUGCUCUAAUUGAACUUUUUGUGAAAGAUUUCCUAUUGCAGGUCCACUAGUCUGAUUCUCUUCUUACUCUCAUAAGCUCCCUCGAUUAUAACCCCACUAUCAUUUUCAAGUUUCAACCAUUACCCUCCAAUUAUGUUCAAAUGUGUAUAAACUAUAAAAGGCGUUGAAAGAUUCUCACAUCCACAUAAUCACCCUACACCUAUCACCAUAUAUUUGGAGACUGCAUCUCAUUGUGCACCUGCUUGUAAUUUUGUUUUCUUCUGAUUUUCAUUCGUAUGUAUUCUGCCCCCUGUAAUUUACCAGCUAGCUUUCAAUCUUUUUGUUUUUAAAAAUCUGCGGUUCUAGAAAAAAGUUGUAGAGAGAAUGAAGAGCAACUUACCAGGUAAAUAAAGAUCCAGUUGAAAAAAAUUGAUUUAUCAAUCCCCCUCUAUUUUUUUUUUCAAUUGAUAAAUAUAGUUACUGUUGGUGAUAAUGAAGAGCAUUGACGAUGGAGUAGACUUUGAAUGAUAUGGGAAAGGAAGCAGCAACCAUUUGAUCAAGGGGAGGUUUUCCGAUUGCGUUGGAGCAACGAUUUCUGUUUACAUAAGUUGAAUAAAAAUAAACUAGUUAACGAUUUAUUUUAGGUUUAAAACACAAACAGGUAAUAAGCCGAUUUAAAUGAAAGAAAAUUCACAAAAAAUAACGACUAUAAAGAACGAUUAGACAAAGAAUUAAAAACACCGUUUCUUAAAUUUUUUUAUUUAAAAUCAUUUUUUUUAAAUAAUGUGAAACUAUAUUUCAAAAAUAUGGUGCAAAUUUGUAAAAACAAAUCCGAAGCUAAUUCAUAAUUUUUUUUUUAAAUCCGGUGACGAACUCGCUAUAGCCCAUCAGAUGGUUUAUGUGAGGACGAACUCAUGAAGUCAAGGUGGAUAGAUGAUGAGGGUUGGUUUAGGGUACGACAAAAUACAAUGAAUUUGAAGCCAACAUCGGGAAGGGUCAUUGAAACUUAAUCAUCAGCAAGUAAGUUCUCAUGUUCUCGUUCAGCCUACGCUAGAAUAAAAUGAAUUCCAGGAAAAAUUGAGAUGAUAAGAACAUCAUCCUCGUCAUUACAGCCAGAUAGAUCGAUUGAGAGGGAGGUAAAAGGUAGGAGAUGGCGAUUUCCAUCUACUAACACCUCAUAGAUUGAUGUUUAAGCUAACUUUAUUCAAAUAGUGCGUGGAGGAAUCUAAUGUUUAAUUUUAAGGUAUGAGUUAUUCCCAUUUGUAUUGAACUUAGGUUUGAAGCGUUUAUUGGAAAUAAAAAUCCGUUUCGUGUUCAUUUUAGGGACAGGAUUUUCUUUUUAACCAUUUGUAGAUAAUUUAUGUGGUUGCAAGCUCCGAUCUAUCACCCACUUGAUAGAUUUGGUGUGUUUGGGUGAAAAACAUAAUUAUGACCUAUGUUUCCAAUUGGGGGUUACGUGUGUUGGAUUGCCACUUCAGAUGGCGAGAGCAAGCGAACGAUUCAGAUGCUCAAAGAUUCGCUUUGGUCUUAUGUAUUAGAUUUUGGAGGGAGUUGGAAUACUUACCUUCCACUGGCUGAGUUCUCCUACAAAAGCAGUUAUCAUGCCGGUACUCACCGGCCAUCGUUUAAGAUGUUAUAUGGAAGGAGGUGCAAUACCCGGUUUGCACGGGAGAGGUCGGGCAUCGGGUCAUGGGUGUACUGAGGUGGUACUCAAGACCAUUGAAUUGAUUCCGUAGGUGCACGACAUUUUGCAGGUCCCCUAAAGCCGAUAGGAGAGUUAUGCAGAUCGGGGACGUUCGGACCUUGUGUUUCAGGAGGGGGAUUUGGUGCUUUUAAAGAUGUCACCUUGGAAAUAUGUGAUCCGAUUUCAAAAGUCGGGAAGCUGGCAGCAGAUUUAUUGGUCCCUUCAGGAUUUCUUCCCUGGUGGGAAAUGUUGAACACCAUCUGGAUUUUCCUGAUGACUCAGCCGGAUGUACAAAACCUUCCAUGUGUCUCAAGUUCGGAAGUGUGUCGUCAAUUAGCUCGAAGUUGUUCAUUUGGAUUACAUUCAGGUUGAUGAUCGUCUAAAUUAUGUGAAGAGAUCGGUGACGAUCUUGGAUUGGAAGACGAACACUCUUUGCAACAUAGGAGUAUCACUACACAAGGUCCAGUGGCAUCAUCGGAAGGAUUUCGAAUGGAAGUGGGAGCCUGAGGCGGCAAUGCGAGAGCACUACCUUAAUUUAUUUGCAACAACAGACUUUGUGGACGAAGUCUAGUUCAAGUGGGGGAGAGUUGUAACAUUUUUAUUUGCAAGUAUUUUAAAAUUUUACACUUGAUUUGAGUUUGGUUUUAAAAUUUUGUCCCAAGCGGUAUUUUCGUAAUUUUUGCGUAGGAGACUCGUACGUUGGGCGUACAUGGCGAGGGUGCAAACCCUAAAUUUUAUGGUUUGGACCCUAUUUAAGCAUCAUUAUAGACCACACCCUCAUUUAUCUUCAGCCUCCAUCCCUAUCUCGAAACCCUAAAGUAAGUGAGUGAGUUUUGAAGCGUGAUGAGCCUUUGUAGUGCCAUUCUAGUGCUCUUAGUGCUGAAUUAGGAACCUAGAAGUUGUCGUGUUUCACUCAAGGCUUUGGAUCCUAGAACUACUCUGUCUUGUUCAUCUUCUGGAGGUAUAAAGCUACAACUUGAUGAUUACCCUAUCUCGAAACCCUAAAGUAAGUGAGUGAGUUUUGAAGCGUGAUGAGCCUUUGUAGUGCCAUUCUAGUGCUCUUAGUGCUGAAUUAGGAACCUAGAAGUUGUUGUGUUUCACUCAAGGCUUUGGAUCCUACAACUACUAUGUCUUGUUCAUCUUCUGGAGGUAUAAAGCUACGACUUGAUGAAUAUUUCAUUAAGAUGUAGUUUAGUUUAAUGUUAGCACCUUUUUGUACCAAAUAUUGAUUCUUAUGAGUAUGGAGUACUCCAAGAUGUUUGAGUUGUCAUUUCAGAUGUUAUAGGGUGUGUUAAGUCAUAAAAAUAUGAUCUUGGACAUUAGCUCCUUCACAUGCAUGAUCUAGAUUGUCUUAAUGGGUCAAGAGACUAGGGUCUUUUUAGCCAUGAAAACCCAUAAAGUUGGAAACUUUAUGGUUCUGAACACUUGUUAGGGUCUAGAUCUAGAUUUUGGACGUAAGUGCUUAAGGAUUUAGCACUUAAUGGAUUGGGUAGGUGGCAACCACGAACGUUGGGCAUAGCAACGGGUAGACUGUACGAUCAGGGUCAGCCCUUCGACAUUUUCUCAAGCAAGUAGUAUUACCGAUUUCUAGAUUAUUAAGUUAUUCAAAAUUCUCGAUCGUGCUUUUGGAAGUAAGUAGUGAUUUAAGAUUAUAAUGGAGCAUUGAUAGAUUGUCCAUGGUGAUGCAUAAAGAAAAUUUUGGAAUAAAUGCUCAUGAGUACUUUAAAUGGAGAUUUUAAGGUAUUGGAGUAACCCACACUUAGAGAUUACUUCAUGGAUUCUAUUACAAGUAAUUCUAAGAUGGUAAUAUCAUAUAUACGUCAAACGGAGAUGCUUGGGAUUCUCUCCUACAAUCUGUUUUGUUUUGGUUUCCCCCAAACAUUGUUCGUAAAUGGCAAUUAUAAAGGGUUUGAGUAGAUAUGACAUGCACAAUAGGCAGAAUCUUUUAAGUCGAAGUUUAUUUGUUCGCUUCUCCCUCAAAAAAUAAAAACAGAUAUCAUUGUUCCCAUCGAUGAUUUGAUUUUGACAUUAAAAUACAUGGUCGUGCUCAUACUAAAUUGAUGGAUAAAUUAUGCAGUUUUCUUUUGAUUGAUACAAAUUAGUAUCGGGAAACAAAAUCUUGAACAUUUGAGAUUGAAUGUAUCAAUGUCUCAUUUUCAUAUACAUAUCUCGAAGAACAAAGGAACAUUUGAUUACAUAUCUAAGGGAUAUAUCACACUUAUAUGUUUUGAUUAUGACAAAUACAUUUGACUAGAUCCUCUCUACUCAUUACUAUUAAAUAAUAGACCAUAUAGUCUUCGUGACUUGUGCAAGUUGAGGUCUUAGAAAAUGGUGCCAAGAGUUACAACACAGUGACAUGUAAGUUAUUAGUACAUAAUGUUAUAAGAUGCAACUUUGGGUAUACACAUAACCGUUAUUACCCUUUGAGGGAUGAAUCACCUGAUAAUAAAAAGAAAAUAUAAAAAGACAAGUUUACUUUUAUGUAAAACCCAUUAAAAAGUUGUUAUAAACAUGUAGUAGUUGUAAUAUAUCUUAAAAACUAUGAAUAAAAUGAAUAUAUAAAAAAAGAAAUUGAAUUAGUAAAAAAAAUCAAUUUCUUAAACAAAUUUCUUAAAAAACCAGUUUCUUAAAAAUGUAAAAACAAACUUGUAGAAACAAGUUGUGGCAUAUUUGUAAACAAAGUUACGGCCAAAGUAAUAUUGAAAAUAAAAACAUUGGCAAUCUUGUAAAGAAAAGGUAUCCUCUAAACAAACAAACCUGCAAUAAUGAGUCAUUGUGACAAAGAAGAAAUAAAACAUUGGCUUUUCUUACUUCUACAAAUAAUAAAAUGUUAACAUGUAACUUUUAUAUAUUUAAAAUAUUUGGCAACCCAUUUAGUUUUGGUAAUAGCCAUUUAUUUUGUUUUGCAACCAUAUGAUUGCAAACAUCGCACACGCACAUAGAGGCUCACACGCACACAGUCAGAUUCAAUUCGGGAUGGAGGGAACAACAAGAAAUAAUGAUAACUGGAUUCUAUAACAAACGACAAACCUUCAAAAUCCUUAAUUCAUAGCUAUCAUUUGUAGUUUAAUACUCAUGGAUUUUAGUAAUUGCUGCUCUAGAAAUGCAUUUAGAAAAUUUCAUUAAACCCAAUCACUUACUAAGAAACACGUUGUGUUAAAGCUAAUAAUAUGCGUGAAGCAUAAAUCAUUCAGAAAGAUUGCUAACCAACUGCAACUGAAAAUGCUAAUGUACAUAAAAGAGCCCAUGAUGAAACGUUUACCAGCAAUAGAAAUGUGUUAAACUCUACUAUUUUGGUGUCAAGUAGCCCUUGGAGUUCCCCCAAACACUUCAGUAGGAAAUCAUUAAUAAAGCAUCCCAAUGAAGUGUUCGGAGGAUCUCUGAGGGACACUUGGCUUUUCCUACAUCUGUAUUUGCUUGAAGUUGAUUGCUUUGUUUAGAAAAUAAACGUGCCAGAAUUACUUGGUAUAUAUAGAGGGAGAGGGAGUAGAGGUUAUUUUCUGAUCGAUGAACAUGGAUACAUCAGCAGCAUGAACAUGGUUGCCAUCGUGUCUCUAUUAGGAGAUAUAUUUUCCCAUAAUCCCAAUUUUCACAUAAAGGGAAAUAUAUGAGAGUGACGAGUUAUGCUGAGGACCAGGUGAACAUGGGUAUCAUAUUCUCAUUUGAUCAUCUAUCCCAUAUACAUGACCACAUUCAAUCUCUGACCUACAAUAUAUAACAUAUUAGCAUAAGAUUUGAUAAUGGGAAAGAGAUGUAUAUUGAUUAUUCAUUCAAAACUAGAAUUGAAUCGAAUAUACCAUGACUGCAAUAUCAUGUAAAGAAAUGAUGCAUGCUGAUUUAUAUAUAAGGUUACAGACACGGCAAGAGGCAGGACAUGCAAAAUUCUGCUCUAAUUGAACUUUUUGUGAAAGAUUUCCUAUUGCAGGUCCACUAGUCUGAUUCUCUUCUUACUCUCAUAAGCUCCCUCGAUUGUAACCCCACUAUCUGUUUCAAGUUUCAACCAUUACCCUCCAAUUAUGUUCAAAUGUGUAUAAACUAUAAAAGGCGUUGAAAGAUUCUCACAUCCACAUAUUCACCCUACACCUAUCACCAUAUAUUUGGAAGACUGCAUCUGAUUGUGCACCUGCCUUUUCUUCUGAUUUUUAUUCGUGUGUAUUCUGCACCCUGUAAUUUACCAGCUAGCUUCCAAUCUUUUUGUGUUUAUAAAUCUGCGGUUCUAGAAAAAAGUUGUAGAGAGAAUGAAGAGCAACUUACCAAGUAAAUAAAGAUCCAGUUGAAAAAAAUUGAUUUAUCAAUCCCCCUCUAUUCUUUCCAAUUGAUAACUAUAGUUACUGUUGGUGAUAAUGAAAAGCAUUGACGAUGGAGUAGACUUUGAAAUAUAAGGGAAAGGAUGCAGCAACCAUUUGAUCAAGGAGAGGUUUUCGGAUUGCGUUGGAGGAACGAUUUCUGUUUACAUAAGUUGAAUAAAAAUAAACUAGUCAACGAUUUAUUUUAGGUUUAAAACAGAAACAUAUAAUAAACCGAUUUAAAUGUAAAAAAUUUACAAAAAAUAACGACUAUAAAGAACAAUUAGAAAAAGAAUUAAAAAAACAGUUUCUUAAAUUUUUUUAUUUAAAAUCAUUUUUUUAAAUAAUGUAAAACUAUAUUGCAAAAAUAUGAUGCAAAUUUGUAAAAACAAAUCCGAAGCUAACUCAUAAAAAAAAAAAAAAAUUAAAUCCGGUGCCGAACUUGCUAUAGCCCAUCACACAGUAAACAAUUUCGAUUAAAAUCAUCGUCGGGGGAGGUGGGGGGGUAUUUCUGAUGGUUUCUGUGAGGACGAGCUCAUGAAGUCAAGGUGGAUAGAUGAUGAGGGUUGGUUUAGGGUACGACAAAAUACNAUGUGAGAACGAGAUCAUGAAGUCAAGGUGGAUAGAUGAUGAGGGUUGGUUUAGGUUACGCCAAAAUAUAGUGAAUUUGAAGCCAACAUCGGGAAGGGUCAUUGAAACGUAGUCAUCAGCAGGUGAGUUCUCAUGUUCUUGUUCAGCGUACGCUAGAAUAAAAAAAUUCCAAGAGAAAUUGAGAUGAUAAGAACAUCAUCCUCGUCAUUACAGCUAGAUAGAUCGAUUGAUAGGGAGGUAAAAUGUAGGAGAUGGCGAUUUCCAUCUACUAACACAUCAUUGAUUGCAUUUUAAGCUAACUUUAUUCAAUUGGUGUGUGGAGGAAUCUAAUGUUUAAUUUUAAGGUAUGAGUUAUUCCUAUUUGUAUUGAACUUAGGUUUGAAGCUUGUAGUGGAAAUCAAAAUCCUUUUAGUGUUCAUUUGAGGGACAGGGUUUUGUUUUUAAGCAUUUCCAGAUAAUUGAUUUGGUUACAAGCUCCGAUCUAUCACCCACUUGAUAAAUUUGGUGUGUUUGGGUGAAAAACAUAAUUAUGAACCCUAUGUUUCCAAUUGGGUGUUACGUGUGUUGGAUUGCCACCCCAGACGGCGAGAGAAAGCGAACGAUUCAGACGGUCAAAGAUAUGCUUUGGUCUUAUGUAUUAGAUUUUGGAGGGAGUUGGAAUACUUACCUUCCACUGGCCAAGUUCUCCCACAAAAGCAAUUAUCCUGCCAAUAUUCACAGACCAUCGUUUAUGAUGUUAUAUGGAAGGAGGUGCAACACUCGGUUUGCUCGGGGGAGGUCGGGCAUCGGGUCAUGGGUGUAAUGAGGUGGUACUCAAGACCAUUGAAUUGAUUCAGUAGGUACACGACAGGCUGCGAGUCACGUAAAGCCGAUAGGAGAGUUACGCAAAUCGGGGACGUUUGGACCUCGUGUUUCAGGAGGGGGAUUUUGUGCAUCUAAAGAUGUCACCUUGGAAAUGUGUCAUCCGAUUUCCAAAGUCAAGAAGCUGGCCGUAGAUUUAUUGGUCCCUUCAGGAUUUCUUCCUUGGUUGGAAAUGUUGCAUUCCGUCUGUAUUUGCCUGAUGAACUCAGCCGGAUCUACAAAACCUUCCAUGUGUCUCAACUUCGAAGUGUGUCGCCGAUUAGCUCGCAGUUGUUCCUUUGGAUUACAUUCACGUUGACGAUCGUCUGAAUUAUGUGAAGAGACCGGUGAUGAUGUUGGAUUGGAAGACGAUCACUCUUUUGCAACAAAGGAAUAUCUCUACACAAGUUCCAAUGGUAUCAUCGGAAGGAUUUUGAAUGGAAGUGGGAGCCUGAGGCAACGAUGCGAGAGCAACCCUAAUUUNCUACCCUAAUUUAGUCGCAGCAACAGAUUUUGAGGACGAAUUCUAGUUCAAGUUGGGGAGAGUUGUAACAUCUUGACUUCCAAGUAUUUUAAAAUUUUACACUUGAUUUGAGUUUGGUUUUAAAAUUUAGUCCCAAGGGAUAUUUUCGUAAUUUUUGCGUAGGACUCACGUACGUUGGGUGUACGUGGCGAGGGUGCAAACCCUAAAUCUUAUGGUUUGGACCCAAUCUAAGCAUCAUUAUAGCCCCAUACCUCAUUUAUUUUCAGCCUCCAUCCUUAUCUCGAAACCCUAAAGUAAGUGAGUGAGUUUUGUAGCGUGAUGAGCCUUUUUAGUGCCAUUCUAGUGCUCUUAGUGGUGAAGGAGGAACCUAGAAGUUGUGGUGUUUCACUCAAGGCUUUGGAUCCUACAACUACUCUGUCUUGUGUAUCUUCUGGAGGUAUAAAGCUACAACUUGAUGAAUAUUUCAUUAAGAUGUAGUUUAGUUUAAAGUUAGCACCUUUUUGUACCAAAUCUUGAUUCUUAUGAGUAUUGAGUACUCCAUGAUGUUUGAGUUGUCUUUUCAGAUGUUAUAGGGUGUGUUAAGUCAUAAAAAUAUGAUGUUGGACAGUAGUUCCUUCACAUGCAUCAUCUAGAUUGUCUUAAUGGGUCAAGAGACUAGGGUCUUUGGUAAUACGGUCUUAUUAGCCAUGAAAAACCAAAAAGUUGGAAACUUUAUGGUUCUGAACACUUGUUAGGGUCUUGAUCUAGAUUUUGGACGUAAGUCUUAAGGAUUUAGCAUUUAAUGGAUUGGGUGGGUGGCAGCCACAAACCUUGGGCAUAGCAACGGGUAGAUUGCACGUUCAGGGUCAGCCCUUUGACGUUUGGUCAAGCGAGUAGUAUUACCCAUUUCUAGAAUACUAAGUUAUUCCAAAUUCUCGUUCGUACUUUUGGAAGUAAGUAGCGAUUUAAGAUUGUAACGGAGCAUUGGUAGAUUGUCCAUGGUGAUGCAUAAAGAAAAUUUUGGAACAGAUGCUCAUGAGUACUUUAAAUGGAGAUUUUAAGGUAUUGGAGUAACCCACACUUAGAGAUUACUUCAUAGAUUCUAUUACAAGUAAUUCUAAGAUGGUAAUAUCAUAUAUACGUCAAAUGGAGAUGCUUGGGAUUCUCUCCUACAAUCUUUUUUGUUUUGGUUCCCCCCAAACAUUGUUUGUAAAUGGCAAUCAUAAAGGGUUUGACUAGAUAUGACAUGAGCAAUCGGCGAAUCUUUGUNGACUAGAUAUGACAUGAGCAAUCGGCAGAAUCUUUGUAGUCGAAGUUUGUUUGUUCGCUUUUCCCUCAAAAAAUAAAAAUAGAUAUCAUUGUUCCCCUCAAUGAUUUGGUGUUGACAUUAAAAUAUAUGGUCGUGCUCAGACUGAAUCGAUGGAUCAAUUUUCCAGUUUUCUUUUGAUUGAUAGAAGUUAGUAUCGGGAAACAAAUUCUUGAACAUUUGAGAUUGAAUAAAGGAACAUUUGAUUACUUAUCUAAGGGAUAUAUCACAAUCUUGUGUUUUGAGUAUGGAAAAUACAUUUGACUAGAUCGUCUCUACUCAUUACUAUUAAAUAUUAGACCAUAUAGUCUUGGUAACUUGUGCAAGUUGAGGUCUUAGAAAAUGGUGCCUAGAGUUACAACACAGUGACAACAAUUAGUACAAGCGGAUUGAUAUGUAAGUUAUUAGUACAUAAUGUUAUAAGAUGCAAGUUUGGGUAUACACAUAACCGUUAUUACCCAUUGAGGGAUGACUCAUCUGAUAAUAAAAAGAAAAUAUAAAAAGACAAGUUUAGUUUUAUGUAAAACCCAUUAACAAGUUGUUAUAAACAUGUAGUAGUUGUAAUAUAUCUUAAAAACUGUGCAUAAAAUGAAUAUCUAAAAAGAGAAAUUGAAUUAGUAAAAAAAAUUAAUUUCUUAAACAAAUUUCUAAAAAAACUAGUUUCUUAAAAAUGUAAAAACAAACUUGUAUAAACAAGUUGUGGCAAAUUUUUAAACAAAGUUACAACCAAAGUAAUAUUGAAAAUAAAAACAUUGGCAAUUUUGUAAAGAAAAGGCAACCUCUAAACAUACAAACCGGCAAUAACGAGUCAUUGUGAUAAAGAAGAAAUAAAACAUUGGCUUUUCUUACUUCUACAAACAAUAAAAUGUUAACAUGUAACUUUUAUAUAUUUAAAAUAUUUGGCAACCCAUUUAGUUUUGGUAAUAGCCAUUUAUUUUGUUUUGCAACCAUAUGAUUGCAAACAUCGCACACGCACAUAGAGGCUCACACGCACACAGUCAGAUUCAAUUCGGGAUGGAGGGAACAACAAGAAAUAAUGAUAACUGGAUUCUAUAACAAACGACAAACCUUCAAAAUCCUUAAUUCAUAGCUAUCAUUUGUAGUUUAAUACUCAUGGAUUUUAGUAAUUGCUGCUCUAGAAAUGCAUUUAGAAAAUUUCAUUAAACCCAAUCACUUACUAAGAAACACGUUGUGUUAAAGCUAAUAAUAUGCGUGAAGCAUAAAUUAUUGAGAAAGAUUGCUAACCAACUGCAACUGCAUAUGCUAAUGUACAUAAAAGAUCACAUGAUGAAACGUUUACCAGCAAUAGCAAUGCAUGAGACUCUACUAUUUUGGUGUCACGUAGCCCUUGGAGUUCCCCCAAACACUUCAGUAGAAAAUCAUUAAUAAAGCAUCCCAAUGUAGUGUUCGGAGGAUCUCUGAGGAAAACUUGGCUUUUCCUUCAUCUGUAUUUGGUUGAAGUUGAUUGCUUUGUUUUGAAAAUAAACAUGCCAGAAUUACUUGGUAUAUAUAAAGAGAGAGGGAGUAGAGGUGAUUUUCUGAUCGAUGAACAUGGAUAGAUCAGCAGCAUGAACAUGGUUGCCAUCGUGUCUCUAUUAGGACAUAUAUUUUCCCGUAAUCCCAAUUUUCACAUAGAGGGAAAUAUAUGAGAGUGACGAGUUAUGCUGAGGACCAGGUGAACAUGGGUAUCAUAUUCUCAUUUGAUCAUCUAUCCCAUAUACAUUACCACAUUCAAUCUCUGACCUACCGUAUAUAACAUAUUAGCACGAGAUUUGAUAAUGGGAAAGAGAUGUAUAUUAUUAUUAAUUNUAGAAUUGAAUCGAAUAUACCAUGACUGCAAUAUCAUGUAAAGAAAUGAUGCAUGCUGAUUUAUAUAUAAGGUUACAGACACGGCAAGAGGCAGGACAUGCAAAAUUCUGCUCUAAUUGACUUUUUGUGAAAGAUUUCCUAUUGCAGGCCCACUAGUCUGAUUCUCUUCUUACUUUCAUAAGCUCCCUCGAUUGUAACCCCACUAUCAUUUGCAAGUUUCAACCAUUACCUUCCAAUUAUGUUCAAAUGUGUAUAAACUCUAAAAGGCGUUGAAAGAUUCUCACAUUCACAUAUUCACCCUACACCUAUCACCAUUUAUUUGGAGACUGCAUCUCAUUGUGCACCUGCUUGUAAUUUUCUUUUCUUCUGAUUUUCAUGCGUAUGUAUUCUGCAUCCUGUAAUUUACCAGCUAGCUUCCAAUCUUUUUGUUUUUAUAAAUCUGCGGUUCUAGAAAAAAGUUGUAGGGAGAAUGAAGAGCAACUUACCAAGUAAAUAAAGAUCCAGUAGACAAAAAUUGAUUUAUCAAUCCCCCUCUAUUCUUUCCAAUUGAUAACUAUAGUUACUGUUGGUGAUAAUGAAGAGCAUUGACGAUGGAGUAGACUUUGAAUGAUAUGGGAAAGGAAGCAGCAACCAUUUGAUCAAGGUGAGGUUUUUCGAUUGCGUUGGAGGAACGAUUUCUGUUUACGUAAGUUGAAUAAAAAUAAACUAGUUAACGAUUUAUUUUUGGUUUAAAACACAAACAGGUAAUAAGCCGAUUUAAAUGAAAGAAAAUUCACAAAAAAUAACGACUAUAAACAACAAUUAGAAAAAGAAUUACAAACACAGUUUCUUAAAUUUUUUUUAUUUAAAAUCAUUUUUUUUAAAUAAUGUGAAACUAUAUUGCAAAAAUAUGGUGCAAAUUUGUAAAAACAAAUCCGAAGCUAACUCAUAAUUUUUUUUUUUAAUCUGGUGCAGAACUUGCUAUAGCCCAUCACUCAGUAAGCAAUUUCGAUUACAAUCAUCGUCGGGGUAGGUGGGGGGGGGGGGUAUUUCUGAUGGUUUCUGUGAGAACGAGAUCAUGAAGUCAAGGUGGAUAGAUGAUGAGGGUUGGUUUAGGGUACGCCUAAAUACAGUGAAUUUGAGCCAACAUCGGGAAGGGUCAUUGAAACGUAAUCAUCAGCAAGUAAGUUCUCAUGUUCUUGUUCAGCGUACGCUAGAAUAAAAAAAUUCCAAGAGAAAUUGAGAUGAUAAGAACAUCAUCAUCGGCAUUACAGCUAGAUAGAUCGAUUGAUAGGGAGGUGAAAGGUAGGAGAUGGCGAUUUCCAUCUACUAACACCUCAUAGAUUGAAUUUUAAGCUAACUUUAUUCAAUUGGUGCGUGGAGGAAUCUAAUGUUUAAUUUUAAGGUAUGAGUUAUUCCUAUUUGUAUUGAACUUAGGUUUGAAGCUAGUAGUGGAAAUCAAAAUCCUUUUAGUGUUCAUUUGAGGGACAGGGUUUUUUUUUUUUAACCAUUUCCAGAUAAUUGAUGUGGUUACAAGCUCCGAUCUGUCACCCACUUGAUAGAUUUGUUGUGUUCGGGUGGAAAACAUAAUUAUGAACCUUGUGUUUCCAAUUGGGGGUUACUUGUUUUGGAUUGCCACCCCAGACGGCGAGAUCAAGCGAACGAUUCAGACGCUCAAAGAUAUGCUUCGGUCUUAUGUAUUAGAUUUUGGAGGGAGUUGGAAUACUUACCUUCCACUGGCUGAGUUCUCCUACAAAAGCAGUUAUCAUGCCAGUAUUCACCGGCCAUCAUUUAAGAUGUUAUAUGGAAGGAGGUGCAAUACCCGGUUUGCACGUGGGAGGUUGGGCUUCGGGUCAUGGGUGUAAUGAGGUGGUACUCAAGACCAUUGAAUUGAUUCAGUAGGUGCACGACAGGCCGCGAGUGGCGUAAAGCCGAUACGAGAGUUACGCAGAUCAGGGACGUUCGUGUUGGAUUAAUGUCUAAGUCCAUAACUAUAAUUGGUAACACUUGACCCGACCUGGCAUGGUCCAUUUGGGUUGCAUGGCAUCAUGCAUUUGGAUAGACUAAAAUGAGAGGAAUAACACUUAAGGUUUGUUAAUAUAUUAUAAGUUCUAAUAUAUUAAUAAGGUUAUUUAAUUAGUGUUGAUCAAGAAUUAAUUUGGAUUUAAUUAAGUGAUCAAAAGGAGACUAAUUAAAUAUAUGGGUUGAUUGUGUAAAUCAUUCAUUCUUAUAUAUGUGGGCUUGUGAUCCAAGAUUCCUUAUGUUGGACUAAGUCCAUGGGGUGACCCAUGGAGGUUAAAAUCCAUGGAGCAUAAGGAAUGGGUAAAGUCAUGAGUUACAUGGUGUAACCCUAAUAGCCACCAUAUAAAAGAAUCCCAUGGCUCAAGAAAUCGUGCACUAUGAGUAUGUGUGAGGGCUAAACGAUUUCAUGGAGUGUUCAAGUUUCUCUCAAGUUAUUCCAAGUGUAUUUGGUGUUGUGUGAAGCAUUUGAGGUGUCACACUUGGGGCACUAGGCACUCAAGCUUCAUGAAGACUUUCUACAUCAAAAGGUAUGUAUUCUAUCUUGUUAUAUUCAUUGUUUUGUAUGCUAGAUUAGGAUAAUACCUUGGAAGUUCAUAUUUGCAUGUAUAAUAGAGAAAACAUAGAUCCAAGGUAUUUAGGGUUGCAUGUACACUUAGGAGUGUUAGAAUGCUCAAAACCCAACAGUGGUAUCAGAGCCUCGGGUUGUUUUCUUGUUAUACCUGCAAUAGAAGCUGAAAAAACGAAUUUGGUGCUGUCUGAUCAUCAGACUCGGCGAGUCCAUCAGAGGACUCGGCGAGUCCAUGCCUAAAAUGUGAUCAAUUCGAUCCAACUCGCCGAGUUGGUUCAUGCACUCGACGAGUUGGACCCCCAGACAGCAUAUUUUCGAGUUUUUUGGCUAGAAAUGGACUAGGAACAUUACCCUAAGUUGUUUUUGAACUUAUAAACUUGUUUUUGAUGUGGUAAUGUUCAUGCUAAUCCAUUUUCAAAGAUAAUUGUCAAUAGAUUCAUGUUUUGUAUUAGUUUAAGGUUUAGACUAAUUACAUGAAAAAGUUUGAUUUGAAUUAUCUUGUUCUUAUGAGUUGCUUAGAUUAAUAGAAAUGUUGAGUGAAAUAGUUGUUUUCAAUCCAUUUUAAUCUAAGAGUUGAGUAUAAAAUGUGUUUGUGUAACUUGUCCUCAAGUUACAUGAAGAGUCACAUUAAAGACUCAUAAAACUCAUAAAAGUUGGCAAUGGUUACAAAAUGAAGAGUCUUGUGUCAUUGAAUAAUUUUUUUUGACUCCAUAACUUGUCCUCAAGUUAUGGAAGUUCAAGAGUCACUUCAUUAAAGAAAAAUAUGUAACCAUAAUUAAAUCCAUAAGUUAUAAAAUAAAGAAAAAGUUAGUUCUUUUAUUAGUUUAAAGUCUUCCAUAACUUGUCCUCAAGUUAUGGAACUUGAAGAGUUUUUGGAUUAAAACUACUUUAAACACAUAAGUUAUGGAAUUAAUUAGUUUUGAAUAGUUUCAAAACUUGCCCUCAAGUUUUGGAAUUUGAAAAGUUUUCAAGUAUGAAUACUUUAAUUCCAAGUUAGCCCUUAGAAUUUUAAAAGUUAAAAUUCAACCCUUAUACUUUAUAAUAUUAUAAGUUAAUAAUAUAUAUAUGUAUAAGAGUAAAGUCAGUCUUACCGCUAGUACGCCUCAUUCACGAAGCCGGUCUAUAAGGUGGGUAUAAGGUUGUUGCCUAUAAAAUGGCAACUUAAUGGGUGUCCACUCUCACCCACCGCUUGCUUGACUGGUGGAGGGUCGUUAGCCGAACGGGUUUGACAGGACUAGAAUUCUCCCUUCAUUAAAAGUAUUAAUGAUAAUACUAAGUAACUAAACUCUUAAUAAUACCCAAUCUUAGUUACUUAGGAAAAAUGUGAAUAAGGUGCUAAUCCAUGAAAUUACACUUUACACUUUGUCUAAGUCGUUAGUGGAGCGUGUGUGGUUAACCGGCACACUAACUUGGACUUAACAAGGUAGGUAAAGGGUGACUUAAUAUUUAUCAUAGUAUCGAUGGAGCGUGUGUGGUUAACCGGCACAUCGAUUGAGGGGUAAUUUAUUAAGGGUACCAAGUGAUUUGCAUGGUUACUUCACACCUUGUUUUGUGAUCCUCGGCAUCCCAGUCACAAAACCUGAAGGGCACACUCGAGAUUGAAACAUGCCUUUGAAAAGUUCAAUGAAUCUCAAAGAUCUAGGAGUUUCAAAACCAAUUAAAACCUAAUAAUACAUUUCGUUUAUCUUGGUGGAAAUUGGUGAAUCGUCAUUCACCUACCUUCAAAUAUUUUAUAGCUUGGAUUACGGCAUACCUCUUCUAAGUUAUAAAAUAGUUUGUUGGGUCCUAGCCUUAAUAUUUCAUAUUGGGUGUCAUAUUAAGGACUUUAAAUCAACUAUCUUGAAUAUCUCCCAAAAGAUGUCUGGUUUAGACACCUAUGAUCUUCCCAAAUCUCUUGAAACAAGGUUUCCUAAUGAAGAUGAUGUCCCAUGGAUAUCAUACUUCUUCACCUCUUCAAAUUAUUCUCCCUAACCCACAAGUUCUUGAAAAGUUUAAGGUCACUCAGGCCCUAUUAGCAAGGCAAGGUCUAGGUGUGGUCACAUCUUGGAGAUGUAGUCACAUAUUGACAAGCCGGGAGAGUUGGGUGUCAAAGUCUUGAGAAAGUUGGUGGUUCAACCACUUUCUAAGUCACAUAGUGAGUUCCUUUGGGACACCUAUGAAACAGACUAUGACAAGACCCUUAAUGAUCUUAUCUAUUUGCUAAGAUCAACUUCCUAAAACUUUAUGGACAUUGACAAUGAUGACAUUGGAUAUCCAGUAAAGCAUUCUCUUCCCAAUGGAAAGGGAUCGGCCAUAGUCAACUCGGUUGACCAAAUGGUAAAGAGAAAAGCUAAGUCUGUGAUAGUCCCGUGUACCAUUAUCAAAGGGUCCAUAUGUUUAUAUUGCCAAAGGAAGGGGCAUUGGUUGCGAAGCUGCCAAAUUUACCUAAGGAUGUUAAAGUCAAUAAGUUUGACUCUACUUCAGGUAAAGUCCACUAUCUAACUCUGUUAAGUUUCUAUUCUGAGAUUCUUGAUACAUGAUGUGACUGGGUCACAUGGUGAUGUUUUAAGAAUCAAAGAAAAGUGAAGAAACUUAAAGAAAGAAUAUGCUGAAUCUGAUGGCGUAGAUGGAUUUCUAUCGCAUAGUUUGAAGAUCGGAUUCUUGAGCUACUUCUUAGGAGUUAUGAGAUAUUGCUUAGGAAUAGAUAACAACAAGUUUUCAUAUGGAUUGUAAGGAUAAGUUUUUCCGCAAAGUUUUAAAAUAAAAGAAAAUUUUUUUGAUUUUAUUUAUUUUAAAAUAUCCUUACAAUGGCUUUUGAGGAAAAAUUGUUGCUUAUAUGAUUCCAUUAAGAGCAAGAGUGGAAAUAUGAAAUUGAUUCUUUCAUUUGUGGUAAUGUCUAGAUUUACCAAAUAAGGAAAGAUUCUCAUCACCCAAGUUUCAAUUGGACCGGAACUUGGAAUCAUGCAAGUUGUAUAGCAUGAUGAAUGAGAACUUUCAAGUUUUGGAAAAUUAAGACUAAUUACUUGUUCACAUGGAUGUGUGAGUCAAGUAAAGGACUAAGGGAUCGAGUACACAUUCUUGUGCACUGAUUAAGUCCACCACAAAAGAUUGAUAAGACUAUUCGUCAUAGUUUACUAAAGCUCAGUAAAUAUGAUUAUACUUACAAGCUUAAGUGUAACUCUGAGACAUUGGAAAAGGUUCCAAUGUAUGGCAGGGCGAAUAAGAAGAAUCAAAUUAGGCAGAAGGAUAAAAGUUUCUCAUAUCUGAAAAGAUGGGAGAGUACUUUAGUAUCAGUUUUGUGAUCAUCUUAAUGAUUAAGAAACCAUAUCAAAAUUAGUUCUCUAAGGAAAUCUUAGUGCAUUCUUAUGACUAAGAAGAGGAACUUGAAUUGUUGAAAUGGUUAAAUCAAGAAGAUGAGUCAUACUUCGUUCCAAUACAAGUCUUAGAGUCAUACUCCAAGAUUGUCAUUUGAGUGACAUGUCUUAAAGAAGGUUUAAAACACUUGUCAAAUGUAAGAGUAAAAGUUUUCUACUCUUGUACAUUUGAAAUUGGUAAGUUGUGAUGUUUUGGAUAAAACAAAGACCAACUUAGGCCAAUUGGGUAAAGUGUUUUUCUUGAUUAGAAUCCGCACUAUCUCUUGGAUGUUUGACAAGGGAGUCUUAUAUGUCAAGAGGACAGUGGGAGUCUUAAAGGUCUUGAAAGUCUCAAGAAAUAAUCAAGAAUAAAACCUGAAGUUCUUCACUAGCACACGACUUGAGGUUUAUAACCUAUCGUGUUGACAUAUCUGUGCCCAUUCCAGUUAAAGUUGGCUUUGCAUAUGAGUUCUUAGAGUUCUCAGUUUGUUGCAUAACAACUUGGAAGCAAUGGCAGGCCCUUGAGCUGCCAGGUGGCAAGAAGUUAAGAUUGAGUUCAAUCCAUAUGGUUUUGGAUUUGUCAUUAUCUUUGUCUUGUGAUUAUGGUUUGACAAAUUCAUAUGGGUAGGAACUCAUACACCAUAUAAAUCUAAGUGUCAUAAGGUUUCUCUCCGAUUCAUGAAAAUGAUGGUGAGGAAACGCUUUCACUAAGUAGAUUUUACGAAGAUAUCAAUUGUGUUAUUUGCAUUUUCAAAAGUCGUUAGUGGAGCGCGUGUGGUUAACCGGCACACUAACAUGGACUUGUGAGAAAUGGCAAAUGCCUAAGCAAUUGAGACCAUGAUUACGGUAUCCCUUUUCAUGGUUCUUGAAAUUGCUUAGACACACAGGUGAGCUAUCUACGGAAAGGGUGUAUGAAUCUAAAUUUCAGACUGUCCAGCUGAUUUCUGAGUACAUGUCAAAGCUAGUGGGAGCAUAAGUGUUAUGCUAAUAAUCAUCAUGUUAGUGGGAGCAUGAUAAUUAUGAUAAGUAUUGCAAGUUAGCAAUGUUAAUUAUAGAAAACAAAAGUUUCAAUUGGGAAAAAGUUGUUUUGCUAUAAUUAAGGGAGAGGAAAUUAUGCUUCAUCUCAAAUCUAUAAGCUUAGAUCGUGAGGUUUUAAUCAUUUAGUCAAGGAUAUAUAUGAAUUUCAUGUUGGAAUGGCUCAACAUAAGGAAAUUCUGUAUAUGGGUCCAUUAUUUGCGUUCUAAAAUUCGAUUAUGAUUACGGCAUCCCUUUUCAUAAUCUGAAUUAUGAGAACUUGGCAAAUUGAAAUGGAAAUAUUAUAGCAAAAGACUGGUUUAGUCUUUAUGUAAGACAUCAUGAAUCGUGUCCCAUAUGCUUCGGAUAUAGGAUCGAUUACAUGUGCUAUAUUCAUCCGUUCUAAAAUUUUCCAAAUGCCUGGGGCAUUAAGAAGGGAAAAGGUUUAGAACUGGAUAUGACUAAAAGGAUUAAACAAUUGUCGAGGACAAUCUAAGGUUUACCAAAGAUUGGUUACUCAAGGACAAUUGGAAGUAUAGUGAUAAUUCUGGAAGGACCAUAUUGACAUAAUCUGUAAGGAGGCAACUCUUGUUCAGAAGUGAUAGUCAAAAUGGAAUCUGGAAAUGUUUCAAAGUUAGAAUUUUCAAUCUGUGUAAGAUUAAGGAAACUUAAUGCAAGAAGGAUAUUUCCAAGGAGUUGAUCUCCUUUGGAAUACUCUGUAAUGAUUGUUGCCAAGUCUUUGUGACUUUGUGCAUAAUCAUUACAAGAGGAUCAAUGCAUAUAAGUUUAGAAUCUAACAGAUUUCAGUAAAUGGCAUGAAUUUGGAAUUCUUGCAUUUGCAGUAAGGAUUUGGGAGUGUGAAAAGAGAAUCAUUGAAGUUAUGUUCAAUUGAUCUAGUUCACAAAGUAAAGAUCAUAGACAAACAUAGUAUGCAUACUUGGUGUGUGGCAUGACUAGUGUUUAAGAAAACAUAGUGUACAUGCUUGGAGCAUGGGACAACUAUUGUUUUAAAUUCAAGAAUAAAGUUGAUAGCUGAAACAGUAUACAAUGAAUAAUGUGUAAUCAUAUGGUGAUAAAUAAAAGGUGUUUUAUUUAUGUUCAAAGGGUUGAUACCAUAUUGGAUUCAAUUAUUAUUGUGUUUCAUUUUGCAUGUUUUGACUUCCCGAAUAAACUGGGUUAUUCUUCCGGAAUGACUAAGUUAUUCAAACCAUCCACAGUCGGUCAUAUGUUGGAAGUAGAUAUGAAUUAAGACUGUCAUGGGUUGGCUUGUAGAGGUCUAAGGUGUUGGACAAAGGGCUACAACACUCAUGAGUGCUCAUAAGUUCUGAGUAUUGGAUUCAACCCGCGCUCAUUGGAAUCACUUCAUGGAUUUUAUCACGAGUGAUCAUGAGACGAUAAUAUCUUAUAUUCUUCAAACCUAGAGAUAUGAGUUGUUACUAUGAGUUGAUAGUACAUUGAUUGCACGAAAACGCAUUUGGUAACUCGGUGCUAUAAAACGUGCCUUUGUGUAUGAUUCAACAAGUAGUAGAACAAGCCAUAUGAGUCGAAGUUUAUCCAUUCCUUUUACCUUCGGGAUAAAAGCGAUAUCUGUGGGCCCCUCGAUGAUUUGAUGAUGACAAAUGGAAGUGCUCGGCCGGGCCAGGACUGAUUUGAUUUGUUCAAUUAGUCAGUCGUCAUAAAUCGGAAAUCGGGAAACAACAAAUGGACAGAGAGAAUGAUUAUAAUCCAUGUCUCAGUCCAUAUGAUAUCUAGAAUGGAGGAAUAUAUGAUCCCUUAUCUAAUGGACAAGUCAUUGACAAAGGUCAGAGUUCAUCUACAAGGUCAGAGUUCGACAGAAGCUUUUGAGAGCUACGAUUGCCAGUCAGUUCUUGAAGUCAUACGCAAUAAUAGUUUUAGACUUAUCCAAGUGGGAGACUGUUGGAUUAAUGUCUAAGUCCAUAACUAUAAUUGGUAAGACUUGACCCGACCUGGCAUGGUCCAUUUGGGUUGCAUGGCAUCAUGCAUUUGGAUAGACUAAAAUGAGAGAAAUAACACUUAAGGUUUGUUAAUAUAUUAUAAAUUCUAAUAUAUUAAUAAGGUUAUUUAAUUAGUAUUGAUCAAGAAUUAAUUUGGAAUUAAUUAAGUGAUCAAAAGGAGACUAAUUAAAUAUAUGGGUUGAUUGUGUAAAUCAUUCAUUCUUAUAUAUGUGGGCUUGUGAUCCAAGAUUCCUUAUGUUGGACUAAGUCCAUGGGGUGACCCAUGGAUGCUCCAUGGAGGUUAAAAUCCAUGGAGCAUAAGGAAUGGGUAAAGUCAUGAGUUACAUGGUGUAACCCUAAUAGCCACCAUAUAAAAGAAUCUAAUGGCUCAAGAAAUCGUGCACUAUGAGUAUGUGUGAGGGCUAAACGAUUUCAUGGAGUGUUCAAGUUUCUAUCAAGUUAUUCCAAGUGUAUUUGGUGUUGUGUGAACCAUUUGAGGUGUCACACUUGGGGCACUAGGCACUCAAGCUUCAUGAAGACUUUCUACAUAAAGAGGUUUGUAUUCUAUCUUAUUAUAUUCAUUGUUUUGUAUGCUAGAUUAGGAUAAUACCUUGGAUGUUCAUAAUUGCAUGUAUAAUAGAGAAAACAUAGAUCCAAGGUAUUUAGGCUUCCAUGUACACUUAGGAGUGUUAGAAUGCUCAAAACCCAACAGUUCGAACCUCGUGUUUCAGGAGGGGGAUUUUGUGCAUCCAAAGAUGUCACCUUGGAAAGGUGUCAUCCGAUUUCCAAAGUCGGGAAGCUGGCCGCAGAUUUAUUGGUCCCUUCAGGAUUUCUUCCUUGGUUGGAAAUGUUCCAUACCGUCUGGAUUUGCCUGAUGAGCUCAGCUGGAUCUACAAAACCUUCCACGUGUCUCAGCUUCGAAGUGUGUCGCCGAUUAGCUCGCAGUUGUUCCUUUGGAUUACAUUACGGUUGAUGAUCGUCUGAAUUAUGUGAAGAGACCGGUGACGAUGUUAGAUUGGAAGACGAUCACUCGUUUCAAACAAAGGAGUAUCUCUACACAAUGUCCAAUGGCAUCAUCGGAAGGAUUUCGAAUGGAAGUGGGAGCCUGAGGCAACGAUGCGAGAGCACUACCCUAAUUUAUUCGCAGCAACAGACUUUGAGGACGAACUCUAGUUCAAGUGGGGGAGAGUUGUAACAUCUUGAGUUCCAAGUAUUUUAAAAUUUUACACUUGAUUUGAGUUUGGUUAUAAAAUUUAGUCCCAAGGGGUAUUUUCGUACUUUUUGCGUAGGACUCACGUACGUUGGGCGUACGUGGCGAGGGUGCAAACCCUAAAUCUUAUGGUUUGGACCCUAUUUAAGCAUCAUUAUAGCCCCAUACCCCAUUUAUCUUUAGCCUCCAUCCCUAUCUCGAAACCCUAAAGUAAGUGAGUGCGUUUUGAAGCGCGAUGAGCCUUUUUAGUGCCAUUCUAGUGCUUUUAGUGGUGAAGGAGGAACCUAGAAGUUGUGGUGUUUCACUCAAGGCUUUGGAUCCUACAACUACUCUGUCUUGUGCAUCUUCUGGAGGUAUAAGGCUACAACUUGAUGAAUAGUUUAAAGUUAGCACCUUUUUGUACCAAAUCUUGAUUCUUAUGAGUAUGGAGUACUCCAAGAUGUUCGAGUUGUCUUUUCAGAUGUUAUAGGGUGUGUUAAGUCAUAAAAAUAUGAUCUUGGACAUUAGUCCUUCACAGNGGCAUGAUCUAGAUUGUCUUAAUGGGUCAAGAGACUAGGGUCUUUGGUAAUACGGUCUUAUUAGCCAUGAAAACCAAAAAGUUGGAAACUUUAUGGUUCUGAACACUUGUUAGGGUCUUGAUCUAGAUUUUGGAUGUAAGUGUUAAGGAUUUAGCGUUUAAUGGAUUGGGUGGGUGGCAGCCACGAACGUUGGGCAUAGCAACGGGUAGAUUGCACGUUCAGGGUCAGCCCUUUGACAUUUGGUCAAGCGAGUAGUAUUACCCAUUUCUAUAAUAUUAAGUUAUUCGAAAUUCUCGUUCGUACUUUUGGAAGUAAGUAGCGAUUUAAGAUUGUAACGGAGCAUUGGUAGAUUGUCCAAGGUGAUGCAUAAAGAAAAUUUUGGAACAGAUGCUCAUGAGUACUUUAAAUGGAGAUUUUAAGGUAUUGGAGUAACCCACGCUUAGAGAUUACUUCAUGGAUUAUAUUACAAGUAAUUCUAAGAUGGUAAUAUCAUAUAUACGUCAAAUGGAGAUGCUUGGGAUUCUCUCCUACCAUCUUUUUUUGUUUUGGUUUACCCCAAACAUUCUCUCCUACGCUUAGAGAUUACUUCAUGGAUUCAAUUACAAGUAGUCGAAGUUUGUUUGUUCGCGUUUCCCUCAAAAAAUAAAAAUAGAUAUCAUUGUUCCCAUCGAUGAUUUGAUUUUGACAUUAAAAUACAUGGUCGUGCUCAGACUGAAUUGAUGGAUAAAUUAUGCAGUUUUCUUUUGAUUGAUACAAAUUAGUAUCGGGAAACAAAAUCUUGAACAUUUGAGAUUGAAUGUAUCAAUGUCUCAUUUUCAUAUACAUAUCUCGAAGAACAAAGGAACAUUUGAUUACAUAUCUAAGGGAUAUAUCACAAUUAUAUGUUUUGAGUAUGGCAAAUACAUUUGACUAGAUCCUCUCUACUCAUUACUAUUAAAUAUUAGACCAUAUAGUCUUUGUGACUUACGCAAGUUGAGGUCUUAGAAAAUGGUGCCUAGAGUUACAACACAGGGACAUGUAAGUUAUUAGUACAUAAUGUUAUAAGAUGGAAGUUUGGGUAUACACAUAACCGUUAUUACCCUUUGAGGGAUGAAUCACCUGAUAAUAAAAAGAAAAUAUAAAAAGACAAGUUUACUUUUAUGUAAAACCCAUUAAAAAGUUGUUAUAAACAUGUAGUAGUUGUAAUAUAUCUUAAAAACUAUGAAUAAAAUGAAUAUAUAAAAAAAGAAAUUGAAUUAGUAAAAAAAAUCAAUUUCUUAAACAAAUUUCUAAAAAAACCAGUUUCUUAAAAAUGUAAAAACAAACUUGUAGAAACAAGUUGUGGCAUAUUUGUAAACAAAGUUACGGCCAAAGUGAUAUUGAAAAUAAAAACAUUGGCAAUCUUGUAAAGAAAAGGCAAACUCUAAACAAACAAACCUGCAAUAAUGAGUCAUUGUGACAAAGAAGAAAUAAAACAUUGGCUUUUCUUACUUCUACAAAUAAUAAAAUGUUAACAUGUAACUUUUAUAUAUUUAAAAUAUUUGGCAACCCAUUUAGUUUUGGUAUUAGCCAUUUAUUUUGUUUUGCAACCAUAUGAUUGCAAACAUCGCACACGCACAUAGAGGCUCACACGCACACAGUCAGAUUCAAUUCGGGAUGGAGGGAGCAACAAGAAAUAAUGAUAACUGGAUUAUAUAACAAACGACAAACCUUAAAAAUCCUAAAUUCAUAGCUAUCAUUUGUAGUUUAAUACUCAUGGAUUUUAGUAAUUGCUGCUCUAGAAAUGCAUUUAGAAAAUUUUAUUAAACCCAAUCACUUACUAAGAAACACGUUGUGUUAAAGAUAAAAAUAUGCGUGAAGCAUAAAUCAUUGAGAAAGAUUGCUAACCAACUGCAACUGAAUAUGCUAAUGUACAUAAAAGAGCACAUGAUGAAACGUUUACCAGCAAUAGCAAUGUGUUAAACUCUACUAUUUUGGUGUCAAGUAGCCCUUGGAGUUCCCCCAAACACUUCAGUAAGAAAUCAUUAAUAAAGCAUCCCAAUGAAGUGUUCGGAGGAUCUCUGAGGGACACUUGGCUUUUCCUACAUCUGUAUUUGCUUGAAGUUGAUUGCUUUGUUUAGAAAAUAAACGUGCCAGAAUUACUUGGUAUAUAUAGAGGGAGAGGGAGUAGAGGUUAUUUUCUGAUCGAUGAACAUGGAUACAUCAGCAGCAUGAACAUGGUUGCCAUCGUGUCUCUAUUAGGAGAUAUAUUUUCCCAUAAUCCCAAUUUUCACAUAAAGGGAAAUAUAUGAGAGUGACGAGUUAUGCUGGGGACCAGGUGAACAUGGGUAUCAUAUUCUCAUUUGAUCAUCUAUCCCAUAUACAUGACCACAUUCAAUCUCUGACCUACAAUAUAUAACAUAUUAGCAUAAGAUUUGAUAAUGGGAAAGAGAUGUAUAUUGAUUAUUCAUUCAAAACUAGAAUUGAAUCGAAUAUACCAUGACUGCAAUAUCAUGUAAAGAAAUGAUGCAUGCUGAUUUAUAUAUAAGGUUACAGACACGGCAAGAAGCAGGACAUGCAAAAUACUGCUCUAAUUGAACUUUUUGUGAAAGAUUUCCUAUUGCAGGCCCACUAGUCUGAUUCUCUUCUUACUCUCAUAAGCUCCCUCGAUUAUAACCCCACUAUCAUUUUUAAGUUUCAACCAUUACCCUCCAAUUAUGUUCAAAUGUGUAUAAACUAUAAAAGGCGUUGAAAGAUUCUCACAUCCACAUAUUCACCCUACACCUAUCACCAUAUAUUUGGAAGACUGCAUCUGAUUGUGCACCUGCUUGUAAUUUUCUUUUCUUCUGAUUUUCAUUCGUGUGUAUUUUGCACCCUGUAAUUUACCAGCUAGCUUCCAAUCUUUUUUUGUUUAUAAAUCUGCGGUUCUAGAAAAAAGUUGUAGAGAGAAUGAAGAGCAACUUACCAAGUAAAUAAAGAUCCAGUUGAAAAAAAUUGAUUUAUCAAUCCCCCUCUAUUCUUUCCAAUUGAUAACUAUAGUUACUGUUGGUGAUAAUGAAGAGCAUUGACGAUGGAGUAGACUUUGAAAUAUAAGGGAAAGGAUGCAGCAUCCAUUUGAUCAAGGAGAGGUUUUUGGACUGCGUUGGAGGAUCGAUUUCUGUUUACAUAAGUUGAAUAAAAAUAAACUAGUCAACGAUUUAUUUUUGGUUUAAAACACAAACAGGUAAUAAGCCGAUUUAAAUGUAAAAAAUUUACAAAAAAUAACGACUAUAAAGAACAAUUAGAAAAAGAAUUAAAAAAACAGUUUCUUAAAUUUUUUUAUUUAAAAUCAUUUUUUUAAAAUAAUGUAAAACUAUAUUGCAAAAAUAUGUUGCAAAUUUGUAAAAACAAAUCGGAAGCUAACUCAUAAAAAAAAAAUUUUAAUCCGGUGCCGAACUUGCUAUAGCCCAUCACUCAGUAAGCAANGGGGUAUUUCUGAUGGUUUAUGUGAGAACGAGAUCAUGAAGUCAAGGUGGAUAGAUGAUGAGGGUUGGUUUAGGGUACGCCAAAAUAUAGUGAAUUUGAAGCCAACAUCGGGAAGGGUCAUUGAAACGUAGUCAUCAGCAAGUAAGUUCUCAUGUUCUUGUUCAAUGUACGCUAGAAUAAAAAAAAUUCCAAGAGAAAUUGAGAUGAUAAGAACAUCAUCCUCGUCAUUACAGCUAGAUAGAUCAAUUGAUAGGGAGGUAAAAGGUAGGAGAUGGCGAUUUCCAUCUACUAACACAUCAUUGAUUGCAUUUUAAGCUAACUUUAUUCAAUUGGUGCAUGGAGGAAUCUAAUGUUUAAUUUUAAGGUAUGAGUUAUUCCUAUUUGUAUUGAACAUAGGUUUGAAGCUUGUAGUGGAAAUCAAAAUCCUUUUAGUGUUCAUUUGAGGGACAGGGUUUUGUUUUUAACCAUUUCCCGAUAAUUGAUGUGGUUACAAGCUCUGAUCUAUCACCCACUUGAUAAAUUUGGUGUGUUUGGGUGAAAAACAUAAUUAUGAACCCUAUGUUUCCAAUUGGGUGUACGUGUGUUGNUUCCAAUUGGGUGUUACGUGUGUUGGAUUGCCACCCCAGACGGCGAGAGAAAGCGAACGAUUCAGACGGUCAAAGAUAUGCUUCGGUCUUAUGUAUUAUAUGUUGGAGGGAGUUGGAAUACUUACCUUCCACUGGCCGAGUUCUCCCACAAAAGCAAUUAUCAUGCCAAUAUUCACAGGCCAUCAUUUAAGAUGUUAUAUGGAAGGAGGUGCAACACCUGGUUUGCUCGGGGGAGGUCAGGCAUCGGGUCAUGGGUGUAAUGAGGUGGUACUCAAGACCAUUGAAUUGAUUCAGUAGGUACACGACAGGCUGCGAGUCACGUAAAGCCGAUAGGAGAGUUACGCAGAUCGGGGACGUUUGGACCUCGUGUUUCAGGAGGGGGAUUUUGUGCAUCUAAAGAUGUCACCUUGGAAAUGUGUCAUCCGAUUUCCAAAGUCAAGAAGCUGGCCGCAGAUUUAUUGGUCCCUUCAGGAUUUCUUCCUUGGUUGGAAAUGUUGCAAACCGUCUGUAUUUGCCUGAUGAGCUCAGCCAGAUCUACAAAAUCUUCCAUGUGUCUCAGCUUCGAAGUGUGUCGCCGAUUAGCUCGCAGAUGUUCCUUUGGAUUACAUUCAGGUUGAUGAUCGUAUGAAUUAUGUGAAGAGACCGGUGAUGAUGUUGGAUUGGAAGACGAUCACUCUUUUGCAACAAAGGAAUAUCUCUACACAAGGUCCAAUGGUAUCAUCGGAAGGAUUUCGAAUGGAAGUGGGAGCCUGAGGCAACGAUGCGAGAGCACUACCCUAAUUUAGUCGCAGCAACAGAUUUUGAGGACGAAUUCUAGUUCAAGUUGGGGAGAGUUGUAACAUCUUGACUUCCAAGUAUUUUAAAAUUUUACACUUGAUUUGAGUUUGGUUUUAAAAUUUAGUCCCAAGGGAUAUUUUUGUAAUUUUUGCGUAGGACUCACGUACGUUGGGUGUAUGUGGCGAGGGUGCAAAGCCUUAAUCUUAUGGUUUGCACCCAAUUUAAGCAUCAUUAUAGCCCCAUACCUCAUUUAUUUUCAGCCUCCAUCCCUAUCUCGAAACCCUAAAGUAAGUGAGUGCGUUUUGAAGCGUGAUGAGCCUUUUUAGUGCCAUUCUAGUGCUUUUAGUGGUGAAGGAGGAACCUAGAAGUUGUGGUGUUUCACUCAAGGCUUUGGAUCCUACGACUACUCUGUCUUGUGCAUCUUCUGGAGGUAUAAAGCUACAACUUGAUGAAUAUUUCAUUAAGAUGUAGUUUAGUUUAAAGUUAGCACCUUAUUGUAUCAAAUCUUGAUUCUUAUGAGUAUUGAGUACUCCAAGAUGUUUGAGUUGUCUUUUCAGAUGUUAUAGGGUGUGUUAAGUCAUAAAAAUAUGAUCUUGGACAGUAGUUCCUUCACAUGCAUGAUCUAGAUUGUCUUAAUGGGUCAAGAGACGAGGGUCUUUGGUAAUACGGUCUUAUUAGCCAUGAAAAACCAAAAAGUUGGAAACUUUAUGGUUCUGAACACUUGUUAGGGUCUUGAUCUAGAUUUUGGACGUAAGUCUUAAGGAUUUAGCAUUUAAUGGAUUGGGUGGGUGGCAGCCACAAACCUUGGGCAUAGCAACGGUUAGACUGCACGUUCAGGGUCAGCCCUUUGACAUUUGGUCAAGCGAGUAGUAUUACCCAUUUCUAGAAUACUAAAUUAUUCCAAAUUCUCGUUCGUACUUUGGGAAGUAAGUAGCGAUUUAAGAUUGUAACGGAGCAUUGGUUGAUUGUCCAUGGUGAUGCAUAAAGAAAAUUUUGGAACAGAUGCUCAUGAGUACUUUAAAUGGAGAUUUUAAGGUAUUGGAGUAACCCACACUUAGAGAUUACUUCAUAGAUUCUAUUACAAGUAAUUCUAAGAUGGUAAUAUCAUAUAUACGUCAAAUGGAGAUGCUUGGGAUUCUCUCCUACAAUCUUUUUUGUUUUGGUUCCCCCCAAACAUUGUUUGUAAAUGGCAAUCAUAAAGGGUUUGACUAGAUAUGACAUGAGCAAUCGGCAGAAUCUUUGUAGUCGAAGUUUGUUUGUUCGCUUUUCCCUCAAAAAAUAAAAAUAGAUAUCAUUGUUCCCCUCGAUGAUUUGGUGUUGACAUUAAAAUAUAUGGGCGUGCUCAGACGGAAUCGAUGGAUCAAUUAUGCAGUUUUGUUUUGAUUGAUAGAAGUUAGUAUCGGGAAACAAAAUCUUGAACAUUUGAGAUUGAAUAUAUCAAUGUCUCAUUUUCAUAUACAUAUCUCGAAGAAUAAAGGAACAUUUGAUUACUUAUCUAAGGGAUAUAUCACAAUCAUGUGUUUUGAGUAUGGAAAAUACAUUUGAUUAGAUCGUCUCUACCCAUUACUAUUAAAUAUUAGACCAUAUAGUCUUGGAGACUUGUGCAAGUUGAGGUCUUAGAAAAUGGUGCCUAGAGUUACAACACAGUGACAACAGUUAGUACAAGCGGAUUGAUAUGUAAGUUAUUAGUACAUAAUGUUAUAAGAUGCAAGUUUGGGUAUACACAUAACCGUUAUUACCCAUUGAGGGAUGACUCAUCUGAUAAUAAAAAGAAAAUAUAAAAAGACAAGUUUAGUUUUAUGUAAAACCCAUUAACAAGUUGUUAUAAACAUGUAGUAGUUGUAAUAUAUCUUAAAAACUGUGCAUUUAGUUUUAUAUAUUUAAAAUAUUUGGUAACACAUUUAGUUUUGGUAUUAGCAAUUUAUCUGGUUUUGCAACCAUAUGAUUGCAAACAUCGCACAUGCACAUAGAGGCUCACACGCACACAGUCAGAUUCAAUUCGGGAUGGAGGGAACAACAAGAAAUAAUGAUAACUGGAUUCUAUAACAAACGACAAACCUUCAAAAUCCUUAAUUCAUAGCUAUCAUUUGUAGUUUAAUACUCAUGGAUUUUAGUAAUUGCUGCUCUAGAAAUGCAUUUAGAAAAUUUCAUUAAACCCAAUCACUUACUAAGAAACACGUUGUGUUAAAGCUAAUAAUAUGCGUGAAGCAUAAAUCAUUGAGAAAGAUUGCUAACCAACUGCAACUGCAUAUGCUAAUGUACAUAAAAGAUCACAUGAUGAAACGUUUACCAGCAAUAGCAAUGCGUGAGACUCUACUAUUUUGGUGUCACGUAGCCCUUGGAGUUCCCCCAAACACUUCAGUAGAAAAUCAUUAAUAAAGCAUCCCAAUGUAGUGUUCGGAGGAUCUCUGAGGAAAACUUGGCUUUUCCUUCAUUUGUAUUUGCUUGAAGUUGAUUGCUUUGUUUUGAAAAUAAACAUGCCAGAAUUACUUGGUAUAUAUAUAGAGAAAGGGAGUAGAGGUGAUUUUCUGAUCGAUGAACAUGGAUACAUCAGCAGCAUGAACAUGGUUGCCAUCGUGUCUCUAUUAGGAGAUAUAUUUUCCCAUAAUCCCAAUUUUCACAUAAAGGGAAAUAUAUGAGAGUGACGAGUUAUGCUGAGGACCAGGUGAACAUGGGUAUCAUAUUCUCAUUUGAUCAUCUAUCCCAUAUACAUGACCACAUUCAAUCUCUGACCUACAAUAUAUAACAUAUUAGCAUAAGAUUUGAUAAUGGGAAAGAGAUGUAUAUUGAUUAUUCAUUCAAAACUAGAAUUGAAUCGAAUAUACCAUGACUGCAAUAUCAUGUAAAGAAAUGAUGCAUGCUGAUUUAUAUAUAAGGUUACAGACACGGCAAGAGGCAGGACAUGCAAAAUUCUGCUCUAAUUGAACUUUUUGUGAAAGAUUUCCUAUUGCAGGUCCACUAGUCUGAUUCUCUUCUUACUUUCAUAAGCUCCCUCGAUUGUAACCCCACUAUCAUUUUCAAGUUUCAACCAUUACCCUCCAAUUAUGUUCAAAUGUGUAUAAACUCUAAAAGGUGUUGAAAGAUUCUCACAUCCACAUAUUCACCCUACACCUAUCACCAUUUAUUUGGAGACUGCAUCUUAUUGUGCACCUGGUUGUAAUUUUCUUUUCUUCUGAUUUUCAUGCGUAUGUAUUCUGCAUCCUGUAAUUUACCAGCUAGCUUCCAAUCUUUUUGUUUUUAUAAAUCUGCGGUUCUAGAAAAAAGUUGUAGGGAGAAUGAAGAGCAACUUACCAAGUAAAUAAAGAUCUUGUAGAAAAAAAUUGAUUUAUCAAUCCCCCUCUAUUCUUUCCAAUUGAUAACUAUAGUUACUGUUGGUGAUAAUGAAGAGCAUUGACGAUGGAGUAGACUUUGAAUGAUAUGGGAAAGGAAGCAGCAACCAUUUGAUCAAGCUGAGGUUUUUCGAUUGCGUUGGAGGAACGAUUUCUUUUUACGUAAGUUGAAUAAAAAUAAACUAGUUAACGGUUUAUUUUAGGUUUAAAACACAAACAGGUAAUAAGCCGAUUUAAAUGAAAGAAAAUUCACAAAAAAUAACGACUAUAAAGAACAAUUAGAAAAAGAAUUAAAAAACAGUUUCUUAAAUUUUUUUAUUUAAAAUAAUUUUUUUUAAAUAAUGUAAAACUAUAUUGCAAAAAUAUGGUGCAAAUUUGUAAAAACAAAUCCGAAGCUAAUUCAUAAUUUUUUUAAAUCCGGUGCCGAACUUGCUAUAGCCCAUCACACAGUAAGCAAUUUCGAUUAAAAUCAUCGUCGGGGUAGGUGGGGGGGUAUUUCUGAUGGUUUCUGUGAGGACGAGCUCAUGAAGUCAAGGUGGAUAGAUGAUGAGGGUUGGUUUAGGGUACGCCAAAAUACAGUGAAUUUGAAGCCAAUAUCGGGAAGGGUCAUUGAAACGUAAUCAUCAGCAAGUAAGUUCUCAUGUUCUUGUUGACCGUAUGCUAGAAUAAAAUAAAUUCCAGGAGAAAUUGAGAUGAUAAGAACAUCAUCCUCGUCAUUACAGCCAGAUAGAUUGAUUGAGAGGGAGGUAAAAGGUAGGAGAUGGCGAUUUCCAUUAACUAACACCUCAUAGAUUGAAUUUUAAGAGAACUUUAUUCAAUUGGUGCGUGGAGGAAUCUAAUGUUUAAUUUUAAGGUAUGAGUUAUUCCCAUUUGUAUUGAACAUAGGUUUGAAGCGUGUAGUGGAAAUAAAAAUCCGUUUCGUGUUCAUUUGAGGGACAGGGUUUUCUUUUUAACCAUUUGUAGAUAAUUGAUGUGGUUGCAAGAUCCGAUCUAUCAUCCAGUUGAUAGAUUUUGUGUGUUUGGGUGAAAAACAUAAUUAUGACCUAUGUUUCCAAUUGGGGGUUACGUGUGUUGGAUUGCCACCCCAGACGGCGAGAGCAAGCGAACGAUUCAGAUGCUCAAAGAUUCGCUUUGGUCUUAUGUAUUAGAUUUUAGAGGGAGUUGGAAUACUUACCUUCCACUGGCUGAGUUCUCCUACAAAAGCAGUUAUCAUGCCAGUAUUCACCGGCCAUCGUUUAAGAUGUUAUAUGGAAGGAGGUGCAAUACCCGGUUUGCAUGGGGGAGGUCGGGCAUCGGGUCAUGGGUGUAAUGAGGUGGUACUCAAGACCAUUGAAUUGAUUCAGUAGGUGCACAACAUGUUCCGAGUCCCCUAAAGCCGAUAGGAGAGUUACAUAGAUCAGGGACGUUCAAACCUCGUGUUUUGGGAGGGGGAUUUGGUGCAUUUAAAGAUGUCACGUUGGAAAGGUGUCAUCCGAUUUCAAAAGUCGGGAAGUUGGCAGCAAGUUUAUUGGUCCCUUCAGGAUUUCUUCCCUGGUGGGAAAUGUUGAACACCGUCUGGAUUUUCCUGAUGAGCUCAACCGGAUCUACAAACCCUUCCAUGUGUCUCAGCUUCGGAAGUGUGUCGCCGAUUAGCUCGAAGUUGUUCCUUUGGAUUACAUUCAGGUUGAUGAUCGUCUAAAUUAUGUGAAGAGAUCGGUGACGAUCUUGGAUUGGAAGACGAACACUCUUUGCAAGAAAGGAGUAUCACUACACAUGGUCCAGUGGCAUCAUCGGAAGGAUUUCAAAUGGAAGUGGGAGCCUGAGGCAUCGAUGCGAGAGCAAUACCCUAAUUUAUUUGCAACAACAGACCUUGAGGACGAUGUCUAGUUCAAGUGGGGGAGAGUUGUAACAUCUUGAUUUCCAUGUAUUUUAAAAUUUUACACUUGAUUUGAGUUUGGUUUUAAAAUUUAGUCCCAAGCGGUAUUUUCGUAAUUUUUGCAUAGGACUCUCGUACGUUGGGCGUACGUGGCGAGGGUGCAAACUCUAAAUUUUAUGGGUUGGACCCUAUUUAAGCAUCAUUAUAGACCAGACCCUCAUUAGUCUUCAACCUCCAUCCCUAUCUCGAAACCCUAAAGUAAGUGAGUGAGUUUUGAAGCGUGAUGAGCCUUUUUAGUGCUAUUCUAGUGCUCUUAGUGGUGAAAAGAAACCUAGAAGUUGUGGUGUUUCACUCAAGGCUUUGGAUCCUACAACUACUGUGUCUUGUUCAUCUUCUGGUGGUAUAAAGCUACGACUUGAUGACUAACCUAUCUCAAAACCCUAAAGUAAGUGAGUGAGUUUUGAAGCGUGAUGAACCUUUUUAGUGCCAUUCUAGUGCUCUUAAUGGUGAAGGAGGAACCUAGAAGUUGUGGUGUUUCACUCAAGGCUUUGGAUCCUACAACUACUCUGUCUUGUUCAUCUUCUGGAGGUAUAAAGCUACGACUUGAUGACUAUUUCAUUAAGAUGUAGUUUACUUUAAAGUUAGCACCUUUUCGUACCAAAUAUUGAUUCUUAUGAGUAUGGAGUACUCCAAGAUGUUGGAGUUGUCAUUUCAGAUG
rnacentral:lncRNA from 1 species